rnacentral:lncRNA from 1 species
UACAAGAGAGUAAAUAUGAACCCUAGAAUUGAGUAACCAAAAGUUUUUUUUUUCUUUUUUUUUAAUUUCUAAAAAGAAAAGGUUACUUUUUGUAAUGAGAGAAAUGUUUAGAGAAUAUUUGAUUUUGACAUGUCAUUUGAGUUCAAUGAUGAUGUAUUGAAGAUAGCAUAUAUAUAGGGUACUUUGAAUAUGCUCUUGGGAUCUGAGAAAAUUAAUGUAAUUUUUUUGCUUUCCAAAAUGUAAAAUGUAAAAUGCAAAAUUGUAAUUAUUAUUUUCAAAGUGAAAUGAUUAUAAAUUUGUGGUUUCAUAUUUCUCUUAAUAAAACGUGGAGGCUUUUACAUCAAAUAAAUCUACUCAUGAAAUUAAAGCCUUUAUCAAAAUAUAAAUUUGUGUUUGUCAUCAGAAAUGAAGAUAAAUUAAUUAAAAAAAUUAUGAGUGAGCCAUUUUAAACCCUAUUGUUCCAAUAAAGUUUCAACAGUUUUUAGUGGUUGAACUUAUUAAUAUUAUUUUAAAUUGAUUAUAUUUAAAAUAACUUUAAAAUCAUCAAACUAAUUUCUAUACUUACCUUAGAUCUAGAUAUCAAUAAAAAAAGAAGUAAAAUUUAGUUAUGUUUUAAAAUAUUUUAAGCAAUUUUAUCCUAAUAGUUUUCAUAAAUAAAAUUUGUAGAGUUCAUUUGAUAAUUUAUUUGUUUUCUGUUUUCUGUUUUUUCUUUUUAGUUUUCUAAAAGUGAGUGCAUUUGGUAAUUAAUUGUUUUUAAAAUGAGAAAUUUAUUUUUUAAAUUGUGAAGAAAAACUAAAAAUUAAAAAAAGUGGCUUUUGUUAUUAAAUUAAUAACCAUAUAAUAUAUAUAAACAAAAAUUGAAUAACAAAGUUUAAGAAGUAGAAAGAAUAAAAAUAAACUAAAAUAAACUACAUACCAAGAAAGUGCCUAUAAUAAUAGAAGUUAGAGAGAGACACAUGAGUUAUUUGAUGAACAAAGAGAUAUAUAAGAACAACCAUACUAUAUUUUCAAAAUUGUUUUUAUGUUUUUUGUUUUGGCAAAAUGAUAUAUAUUUUUUAAUUUUUUGUUUUCUUAGUGUGUUUUGUUUUGAAGGUAGUGCCAAGCUGGAAUUGAUUUAUCAAGUCAAAAAAAAAAAAAAAAAGAAUUUCAAUCAUCUUCUACAGUCUUACAUAUGGUUAAUAAUUUGUUUCGAGUGGUAUUCCUUUAAUCUAUUCAAUUUGGACACCUGUUCUUGCAUCACAAUUGCUUGUGAAAAUUUAUUUUCAUUCUUUCAUUUUCUUUCUCAUCCCAAAAUUAAGGGAUUUUGUAUGUAUAAAUUGGCCCAUUGGCCAUCGUUAAUAUACACACGAAAUCAGGGAAGAUUUCUACCAAAUUAUAGUAAAAUCUUCAAACCCUAAUUUGUUUUACCUUGUAAUAAAAUCACUUGCUACUUUUAUUUAGCAAUUUAUUUUCAAAGAGAGGGUCAAGAAUUUAUUUAAACACAAAUAAUAAUAGUAAUAUAAUAUAAUAUAAUACAUUCAAAGAAGCAACAAAACGAGAGUAAAUAUAAAAUAAUCAAAUUUAACGUAUUACUAAAUAUAGCAAAAUUUAGAUUCAGUAGAGUCCAAUAAUAUCAUACGACGUUAGUAAAAGAGAGUUGAUUAAAAUCAAGGUACUUUGAAAGAGUAAUUAAAAAAGAUCUAACUAAAUUAAAGAUGGGAAAGUUGGUGAAGUGAUAGGUUAGGAGUAGAGAAAUGGGAAGAAAAGAUGGAAGAAGCCACAAGAUGAUUAGCAGCUUCAGUGUAAUGAACACCAUCCCAUAUGAUUGAUUUAGAAGGAUUUGAACAAAUUGAAUAACCUGGUUGCCCACAUGUUGCUUUUACAUUGUAAUUGUUUGGUGCCCCUCCAUAUCCACAACAUGCCAUCAAUGGAUCAUUCUCCAACCCUAAUUUCAUCCCAAAUAAUCAACCACAAUCCAAACUAUACACUUCAUCACUAUUUUUCUAAUAAUACAAAUAUUAAUUACUUAUUUUUAAAACUUUCAACAUCAUGUUUAAUAGUUAUCUUUUAAAUUUAUAUUUUUUACAGGCAGGUCUUUGAUAAACCUAGUUAUAUUUCACAAUUUUCUUCUAAAAAAAUUUCACAAAAGUCGUCUAAUGUGUCUUAUGCACGUAUGAGAUGAUGCAAAGUUUAACUUUAUGUUCAAUAUAUUUGAAAAUAUGAAAUUUUCAUUAACUAGACACAAAAUUGAAAGUUUUGUUAAAUUUUUUAUAAAAUAUUAAAAAUGUAGUUAUUAUCCUAGGUCAUAAAAGUUCAAGAAAGUUUAUGGACUUCAAACUCUAUGUAAAAGAAGUUCAUGAAACUUUAGUUAAUUUUUUUUUUUUUUUGUAUUCUCUAAUUUGAUAUCGUGAAUAAAUAUAAUGGUGUAAAUAAUCAAAUUAAACCUUUAUUAUGGAAGUGAUUUUGUAACGUGUGUGAUUGUAAUUUUUCGUGGUCUCGGUAGCUUUUUCUUAAUUAUGGAGCUUUCCUAGUUAAUUUUUGUGUUAGUUUUAUUGUUUUGUUUUAAUUUCUUUUCCUAUUAUGUUGUAAAGUUUUUUUUUUUUUUUUUGACAAGGAUACUUUGGGAUAGCUGAUGCAAGGAUAUCUCCACAUGGGGGACAUAUCAAAGCAUCAGCUAUAGCCCCACUUCAUUAAUAAUACAAGGUGAUUACAAGAAGCGGGGGAAUAGAAAGGCUAGAAGGCAGCCCGAUUAUCCCGAAACGAAAGCAUGUAAAUUUAAAGCAAUAGAACCAGGCGAGUAGUUUUUGAAAAGUGAAGAUCGGCUUGUCCAUAGACCGGUUGUGGCUUGAAUGUCUUCCCAAACCGAGACAACUGAUUUUUCUUCUCCCUUAAAAGUCCUUCUGUUUCUCUCAUUCCAGAUGUUCCACAGGGUGGCAGCCACCAGAUGCUGUUCAAUGGUUUGUCUUUUUUAUUUUCCUUUUCCUUUGAAAGGCUUUUUGCAUAACACAGAGGGAUCUGUAAGGGGGAAAGAUUUGUCCAGAAUCUCUUCAACUUUUUUCCACAGAUUUUUUGAGAAUGGGCAGGAGGAGAAUAGAUGGUGUCUGUCUUCCUCAGCAGCUUUGCAGAGUAUACACCAAGAGGGGUGAAUAUUCCAAGUAGGGAGUCUUCUUUGCAGCAUAUCCAUGGUAUUGAUACACUCACGAAGGAGAAUCCAUAAGAAGAAUUUACAUCUUUUUGGGUGGUAGAUUUCCAUAAAUUAUUGUAAAUAAUCUCAUCCUCGUCAUUGUACUUUUCUUGGUUGUUUUGAGUUCUUGCAAUUUUGGUGGAGGCCACCGAGAAAAAGCCAUUCCUGUUUAAAUUCCAGAGAGGUCUGUCGAAUCCAGUGUCAGGCAAGGGAGGAAGGGUAGCUUUCAAUUCAUCCCAGAGGGCUUCCUCGACACUUCUUAUGGGUCUUCGAGGGAAAAGGUCCCAAUUGGCAAUUUCUGCAUUCCACAUAUUUGCAAUGGAAUUUUCUUUUCUAGAAGUAAGAGCAAAGAGUCUCGGGCUUGUCUGUGAAAAUGGACUACGGUCGUGCCUUUUACUGUGCCAAAAUGAUAAUGUGUCACCCCUUUUAAUACUCCAUUUAAUUUGAGGGAGAACCCAAUUUGCACCUUUAAUGAUAGACCUCCAAGGAGCUUUAAAGCUGCUGAAUUUGCUCUUAGUUGGAAGCUCUCCCAAGUAUGUUUGUUCGUAUUUUGCGGUGAUAAUUCGUUUCCAUAGGGGAUUUUUCUCUUCAAAGAAUCUCCAGAUCCGUUUGCUCAGGAGAGCAAAAUUUGUACUCUCAACACUGUUGAUGCCCAGGCCACCUUUACUGAUAGGAGACAGAACCGAUGACCAUUUAAUGAGGUUGAUAUUUUUCUUUUCCUAAGUGUUUCUCCAAAGAAAACUCCUCCAAAUUUUCUCAAUGUCUUUGCAGACUGAUUUGGGAGGCUUGAAAACCGAAAGGUGGUAAUUUGGGAUGCUAGCUAAAGUAGCUUUAAUGAGAGUAACUUUACCUCAUCUGGAAAGAGAAGCGUAUUUCCAAUUGCUGAUUUUCUUUUGGAGUUUCCCAGUAGUUCCAGACCAGAAGUGUCUAGAAAUUGGUUUACCCCCUAAAGGCACUCCCAAAUAUUGGAUGGGGAGAAAGUUUAUGGAGAAACCCUAUUUUGACGCCACACAAUUUGAUCUCUGCGAAUCAAUGUUGACAGGUGUUAUUGUUGAUUUGUUGAGGUUGAUGUUGAGACCCGAGGCCAACUCAAAAAGCCUAAGGGCAUAUCUCAUGUUAUCAAUGGUUUCUUCAUCAUCCUCCAUAAAAAGUAGGAUAUCAUCUGCAAACAGAAGGUGGGUGAGGUUGUGUUUCCCAUUUAUACUAACACCUUUAAUCGAGUUAUCUUUUUCCAGUUGGUUGAGGAGGAUACUGAGAUAAUCCAUAGCGAGGACAAAGAUAAAAGGAGAGAUAGGAUCUCCUUGCCGAAUGCCUCUGGUUGGCUUGAUUUUACCUCUGGGUCUGUCAUUAAUGAGAAUGAAGUAUUGAACACUUGUGAUGCAUGCACUGAUCCAUUGGCGCCAUUUUUGUGGGAAGCCUUUCUUAAUGAGCAUGAAGUCAAUGAAAGACCAAUUUAUUUUAUCGAAAGCCUUUUCGAUGUCAAGCUUGACCACAAAACCUUUGGUUUUUUUUCUGUUUCUAGUAGUCCACCGCUUCAUUAGCAAUCAAAAUGGCAUCAGUAAUCUGCCUGCCUCUGACGAAAGCUAACUGAUUUUCUGAGAUUGUAUCAGGCAGAAUGAGCUUGAGUCUUUCGGCAAGAACUUUAGCAAUGAGCUUGUAUAGACUAGUCGUUAAGCUUAUGGGUCUGUAGUCUGAAGGAGCAUAGCAGUUCUCCUUUUUGGCAAUAAGAGCAAUAUAUGUGGAAUUCACAUUCUUGUUGAUGAUGCCAUUUUUAUGGAAGUCAUUGAAGAUAUCCAAAAUAUUUUUGUUUGUGUAUUUCCAUGAAAAUUUGAGAAACUCCAUAGUGAAACCAUCGGGACCCGGUGAUUUAUUUUUGGGAGAAUUUUUAAGAGCGUUGUAUAUUUCCUCCUCAGAAAAGGAUUUGCAAAGAUCCACUUGAGUUGUCUCUUUAAUAGCAGUCCAGGAGAGGUUAUCAAUUAACCAUAAGUCUCUUCUCUUAUCCAGGUAAAUCUCCCCGAAAUGGUUAAUAAAAGAUUUCUCAAUAUCCCUAUCCGUGGUGUAUUGAAAUCCUUGCGAAGUGGAAAUACUUGAAAUGAAGCUUCUCCUUUGUCUUACAGAGCAAAUUUUGUGAUAAAAAGCUGAGUUUUCAUCACCUUCCAUGUUCCAUAGACGUUUGCACCUUUGAGCCCAGUCUUGUGCUUCUUUAAAGGCCAUAUUUUUCAAAUCAGUUUUGAUGGUUGUUCUGUUGGAUAAGUGCAUAUAAGUGAUAUUGUUAUCAGCUUCCAGAUUGUCAAUGUGCUCAAGUUCUUUCAAUAAAGCCUGUCUUUCUUCAACAGAGGAGACUUUUUUGUUUUUACUCCAGUUUUUGAUUGUUUGAGCAAUUUGUUUGAGUCUCCGCAUAUAAGAAUAUCCCUGGUGACCUGUUUGAGCAGUGUUUGUCCACUAGUGCUCAAAGUUUUGUUUAAAUGAAGCAUCUUUGAGAAAGGAGUUGUUGAACCUGAACGGUGUGGGCCCCACUUAAUGCUGUUUGAUUCAAGGGAAAUGGGAAAGUGGUCUAAUGUUUCUCUUGGGAGCCGUCUUGAAAAGUGUGGUUCAAAUAUAAUUUCCCAAUCUGGAGUAUAAAGGAAUCUAUCAAGCCUUGAGAGAAUGGGUUGUGCUCUAAGAUGUGACCAAGUGUAUUUGGCAUUUGAGAUCGGUGGAUCAUAGAAAUUGCAACCCGAAAUGAAGAAAUUGAAAGAAUUCAUACAGGGGACUGCAAUAUUUUUUGCUGUAGUUUCUAAUUACCAUCUAACAAUAUUGAAAUCUCCACCCAUAAGCCAUCUUGGAAGGCAAGUGGCUUUAAUCUCUUCAAGCUCCAUCCAGAAAUCACCUCUAUUUUCCGUUUUGAUGGACUAUAAACUGUUGUUAGCCACCAAUGAGAGUUGUUUGUAUAUUUGGAAAAUGAGAUAUUAAUAGAGAGAGUGAAUUUUUUCAUAAGAAAAUCAAUCACUUUAUAUCUUGUGUCAUCCCACAUGAUAAAAUACCUCCUGAACUAUUUACAGCAGGGGAGAAUUGUCAUUUUAUACUAAUAGGGCUCCAAAGUGAUUUAAUAAUUUUCUUGUUGAUAUAUUGCAGUUUGGUUUCUACUAGAAUCACAAAAUCAGGAUAGUAACAGGAUAGAAAGUUUUUUAUUUGUGCUCUUUUUGAGGGAGAGCUUAACCCUCUAAUGUUCCAACAUAAGACUUUCAUGGGAGACUAUUUUUCCCCUUUUCAUACAGUAUCGUUACAUUCUCAUCUCCAGUAGUCUCGCUGUCUUCAUUAACAACACUAGCAAAGGAACUUGUAGUGAGCUUCAGGUUGUUUUUUUUCAACCAAUCCAAUAGCUUCUUUUUAAAGUCUUCAUCGUCAUUGAUCUUUUCCAUUUCAUUAAUUUCAGCAUCUUCCUUAUCACUGAUCAACAUCGGCCCAACAUUGUCAUUUCCAAUCUCCAGUUGUGCCAUAGAAAGGUGAGCCGUUGGAGUGGUGGCUUCUGGGCUUGAGAAAGGUGCAUUUGUGAUGGGGGAUAUAUGGCCCAAGUCUACCGUGAGGUUUAUCCCUUCCAUAUCGAUUUUUUUUUUUUGUUUGACUCUGUUUUCCCUUCUCUUCUUCUGGGUUUGUUUCUUCUAAGCCCAAUGUUGCGUGUGGAGCCUUUACUCGGUAGAUCUGUUUACCUUUCUUUUUUAGAUUGACAGGGCUUUUUGGGCUUCCUUUCUGGUUGUUUUCUUCUGGGCUUCUUAUUCUGAUGGGCCUAAGGGGCACACUUCUAGGAUCAAAGAAGUAUAUUUUAUUCUUUGGAGAAGUGAAGGAAACCUUUCUGUUUGAAUUUUGUGAUGACCGUUGGUUGGAGCUUUCCCCUCUGAAAAAUUUUCUCUCUUUUUUCCUGUCAGCUGGUGUCUUUGUCUUGUCAGUAGAGCUCCCCUGUAAUUUUCCACUACUGUCGCUUUCGCCGUCAUAAUUUAAAAUUUUCAUCAUUGCAUCUUGUUUUUUUAUUGUGUUUUGCAGAUCACUGUUCCGAUGCAACUUUUUUUCUUUUCGUCUUGAAAGUUUUCUGAUAUGGCCCAGCUUGCCGAUACAGCAAUAUAAUCAAGAAACUGGUACUGUUCACAGUCUUGCUUGAAUUCAUUGAAAUUUUUUGCUGCUUCGUUUGUGAAAGUGCCAUGAAUUCUGGGAUUUCUUUCUUUGAGCCAUUUUCCUUCAGCUUGUACAAUAGUCUGAAUUCUAAAAUGAUUUCCCUCCUCAUCGGCUAUUCUAACAAAAGCGGGGAUAAAACCCAUGUAAUUAUACUUGAUUUUGAUAUCUGACUCAAAGAGAUCAAGUCUGGUAUUUUUAGCCACUUCAACAAACCCACCACAUGCUUCUCCAAUUUGAUAGAAAGACGAGUAAUUCCAUGCAUGAAGGGGAAUACCUUUGAAUUUGACCCAACCGCCAUAGCUUGGCAGAAGCUUUGGGGAGGCAUGUUUGGCAAUGUUCCAAGCCUCGAAUUUAACGUAAUACUUUCCAACCGUUGUCCAUCCUCUGUUUUUACAAAGGAGGUUCACUAAGUUCUUAUCUUCAAUCGAAACCGCAGCCUUUUCUGUAUGAAAGGGCUUUAUGUAAUGUUGAAAUCCAGUUGUUCUUGUAAUUUUGUCAGGAUCUUCCUCCAGUCGUCGUGAAAAUAUCUUCUAGUGAUCACCACUGUUUUAGUCCAGUUAGGAGAGUCAAAGGCCCCAGAGGGAGUCUCUUCUUUCUUGCUACCUGAAGGGAGAGUUUUAGGAGAACUAGAGUCUGAUGAGCUACUGUUAGUCAGCACUUCUGCGUAAGAUCUACGUGGGCUGUCUGACUCAGAUGAGGAACUAAAAGAAGAAACUUUUUUGCCUCUGUCUUCAGUAGUUGUAGUCGUCUUCCUUUCUUGAGCGGCUUCCUUUCUUAAUGUCAGCAAGUCUGUAAACUGGGCCCAUCCUUGUUUAUCAGUUCCUUUAGGGACAAGGAUGCAAGAUUUCCUACCUCGAUCAUCCACUCUAAAGAUUUCUGCCAAAUAACCUUUACGGUUGUGUAUUUUUUGGACCCACCAGCAGUUGUCCUCAAAUCUUUUUUCAAGGAAGAACAUUGUCGUUCUAGGAGUAUCCAAUAGAGUACUGAAAGUAGAACUAAGCCAGUCAAAAGAUUCUGGAGUGACAGAAAUGGAGUAGGAUUUGUAGGGACCCAUUUCAGUUAAGAGGAACCUGAGCUCUCUGGAGCGGUUGUCGAUAGAAAUCACGAAAUCGUUUUUUUCAAUGGAGCAAGUAUGGGGUAGUUGUCAGAGGUGUGCCAUGUUUAAUAUGUUGUAAAGAUUUAUUUUGAUUUUUUUAUAAUUAUGAAAGAAACUAUUGUAUCUAUAUUUAUAUUUAUAGUUUAGAUAAACACAAACGUAUGAAAAAAAAAGGUUUUUUUAGUACAAAUGGGAAUGGAGGAUUUGAAUCAAGACCUUUUGUGUUUAGAUACAAAUUGGUGGAAGUUGCUCACGUUGACAGUAUGUCAAAUUUUCAUGGACCCAAGUGGUAAUAUAAACAAAAAUCUUAUUCUUAUAAAACAGAAUUUAAAGUAAUACUGAGGAGGGGUUAGUUUUCCAUUGAGGCUAAUGCCAUACACAGACUACAAAACCUAGAGUUUUUUUCUUUCUUUUUCUUUUUAAGUCUAUCUCAUGGGAUGGGAUUAGCCUUUUCUUUUUAAGUUCUUUUUAUCUUUAAAAACUCUUAUCUUAUAGAAUAGUAUACUUGACAAGACAAUUCUUCUUCUUUAGGUAGUAUACUAGUCAAGAACCUAAGUUUUGAUUUGAGCAUCACACAAGCAUAUUAUAAACUUUUUUGGAAUUAAUUAACAUAAAAAUGAAAUAACAAAAUCAUACCAUAUGCUUUGGGAUGGGCGAAGAGAUUAUAUUUGAUGGUAUAUAUGUCAACGUAGAUGAUGAUAGCAUCCUUAAGCUGAGAUCUUAACUCUUUGCAAACAUUUUUGAGGCCUUUAUUGAAGAAUUUAGCAACUUGAUUGUGAACCUUAAGACAGCCAAUUUGGUCAACAUCGUUGUGGGUGUGGGGAUGCAAUGCCAACUCUUUUGGAGAACAACCCAAUGGUCCUGUGUUGUGUAUCCAAAAUUUUCUCCCACCAUUUGCAUAUAAAUUCUGAACACACAGUUUAUAAUAAUAAUAUUAUUAUAUAUAUAAUAACACCUCACAGUCUGAAAAUCAAAACAAAACAAAAAGAUACUGUUGACAAGAAUGCAUUGGUUUUACAAAAUAUAAAAACUCAAAAGAAGGUUUAAGUAGAGAUUUAUCCAUGGAGUGAGGUCGGGAUGUCAUUCCCUCUCCCCAUCCGAGUGAAAUCCUUUAUGGGUAUCAGGGCAAAAUGUUUUAUGGAGAAUUCAUGGUGAUCAGUUUCCACUAAUUUUUUGUUUUUUUAUAGAAAAAUCAAUUAAUUUAAAUCAUUAUUGUAGGAAAAUUCUAAUUAAAUAGUUAAGUCUAUCACUAAAUUGUUUAUUAUGGUUAUUUUUAUAUUACAAUAAAUUAGUUAAAUUUUGACCUAAGAAACUAAUCAAUCUGUAGUAUGAAGAAAUAAACAUCAACCAAUUUAUUCACAUAUAUAAUAAUCUAAAUUUAAAUAUGAACAAUCAAACUUAAAAUUAGGUAUAUUAUUUAUAUAAUAAUAAUAACACAACCUUACGACAUAACUAUACUAAAUAAAUAAAUAAAGUCUAAAAUCAGGGUGAAAAACGGGAACAAGGUCGAAGAAUGCAAUCUGACCAUCCCAUUUAGUUCACAAAGUUUUUUUUUCCUCAACUCCCUCCUUCAUUUUCCACUUAAGUUAAGGUUGGUUCCCCGGGGUUUCAUUUUUCUAGGUUAACACAUUUCUAGCACCACCAUCAUCUCGCACAUCCUUUUAUUAAAUAACAUUGAAUCAAAAUAGUUAACCUUCAUACUAAGAUUUCACAUGUAUAUUAUUUUAAAGUUGGAGCAUGAUCAAUAAGAACACUAUCACUAUUUGCCUAAUAAAAACAAUGUUGUAUUGUGGUUAAACAAUCUUUAAUUUUAUUUUUAAAAAAAGAAAAAGAAAUUGAUUAUAUCAGAUAUUGAAUUUGUAUAUAAACCAACAAACACUGGCAUCAAAAUAUACAUUAAAAAAUUUCACAUGAUCAUCUAAAAGAUUCGUUAGUCAUAAAAGUUAUCUCUAAUUAAUAAAAAAGAGAGAGAAUUAAGGGGAGAAAUUGUAGUAAAAAAAAAUGUUGAACCUGAAUAGCCAACUUGAUCUCUGCAAGAAAAGAAGGGAUUUUUUGGGCAACUGAUUUGUAGGUUAAAUUUGAUUGGUAAAGAGCCACUAAUAUAUCAUUUUGUCCAAUAUCAAUCAUAUAUAUUCCUUUUCUAAAACCUUCUUCAUCCACCAUCUUCUCUAUUUUACCUGCCAUCAAAAAUAUUAUAUAAUUCAGACCUUCUCUUUUAAUUCAUUUUAAUUCUUUAAUUUAACCAAAUUCUUCAUGGAACAACUGUACUCAAUCAAAUAUUUUAACAUCUACUCAACAAUAACUCAAACCCCAUGCAUUUGGAUUAGAUUGAAUCGUAAGCUUGCAUGUGACUUGGUCUUUUUUUUUUUGUUCAAAACUUCAAAUGUGUUACACAGCUUGAUUGAUGUUAAUGAAAUGAUUUAAAUAGGUCUCCUUGGAUAAUAUUGAAAUUUUUACUUUUAUUUUAAAUAUUGUGUUUACUUUCUCUCCAUUUUGAUUACUAUAAAAGAAAACCAAAUGGUUAUUACCAAUUGGGACAUAAACUAUUAUUAUCGGCCAAUCCACUUUAAAUCAUUUUAUAAUUAGUUUCUAUAAGAUGAAGAAGAGAGAAAUAAAAAAUGAAAAGAAAAAGAAAACAUACCAAAUGAUUGAAGCUCAAGAGAACGAUUCUUAAAGUGAAUGAAUUGACGAACUUGAACAUCAAGGGCAAAAGGAACAAACUGUGGAACUGUAGUUGCUCCACUCACUGCAAAGUUCACUCCACUUGUAAAAUUUGGAGCUAAAGCCUCCAAAUAUGGACUCAAAUAGCUCAAUUUCAACUCUUCACCUUCCAAAAACCAAAAACAGCAUCGAACUCUUCACUGACCUGAUCUCAAAUAACGUAAAACACCCUAACUAGAUCAGUACUAUGUAAAUAUAAUAAUUAAGGAACUCACAGAAGAAGUCAAUUAUCAAGCGGCCGUCACCCAGCCGUCCGGUUCCACGGUGGAAGAAGGUAAUGCCGUGGGGGAGGCCGAUGGGGAGUCCGGUCCCGGCAAGAACGCCACCUGUAUCAGAGUUGGAGUCGCCGAAGUUGAUUAAAGUUGGCGAUGUAGAGCUUGUUGAUGGAAUAUUGAAAAUGGCAAAAGAAAUGACAUAAAACCAAAAGUGAUUCUUCUUUUUCUUGGGAUCAAACAAUAAUGUUGCUGUUGUUCUUGAUCUUGAUUUGGUCAUCUUGUUGUUUUUUUUCCUUUCUUUCUUUCCUUCUUUUAGUUACACUGAUCAUUUUUUGCUUUUUUGUGAAUCUCGGCCAAACACCAAGUUGUAAUUUUCUCAUAAUUUUUUUAAAAUAUCAAGAGAGAGAAGAGUUUAAUUAGGGUUUAACACAAGUUGUUAUUAAAUUAAGGUUUAUAUGCUGGCAGAUGUUGAUUUUUGGUCGGGUUUGUGAUUCAACAUAUAGUAAUUAUAAUAAUUCUUAUUUUCAUAUUUCAUUGUUGACUUCAAUUUGAAUGACUUCAACAUUAAGUUAACUUUGGACACUCUCAAAAUUGCUUAUUAGGAUAUACUUAAUGAGCCAAUGGUAUGUCCAAUCCAAAUAUAGCUAUAACACUUCAAGGCAAUAAUAUAAUUAAAAACUUAGAAAUUUGAAUUUCUACUAUUUUAUUUAAAUUAAUUUGACAAAAUAUAUUUAAAUUAAAUAUAUGUAAUAUAAUAGUUUUGAAUUACAAGAUCUUUUUUACUUUUGAGUUUAAGUAUAUGCAAACUAAUUUUUAGAAAUUAAAAUUGUAUGUUUUAGCUGAGGAAUUGUCCAAAAAUAUAUAGCAUACAAUUUGUUGACUUGUUGGUUUGACUCAAUUAAGCAUAUCUAAAUCUAAAUGAUUUUUAGUUGAAGUUGGGAGUGGGCUUCUUUUAUUUGUACAAAAGCCCAAGAUAUGUGUUUUAACCCUUCAAAGUCCGCCAAGCCCAAACCUCGUUCAUAUCUCCUUUCUCCAACCUAUCUCUCUCCACCCAUAUAUAUACAUAUAUAUAGACAUGUAUACACAUAUAUUAUAGUUAUUCUUAGAAUUUAAUUGGAAAAUCAGCAUUAUUUUUUCGAACAAAUGUAAAAUGGUAACUAAAAAAUAAGAAAGAAAACAAACUCAAUCUAAACGGAUUCAAACCUUUUCAUCUUAGGAUCAAACUAUCGAUUCUUUUUGCGUCAAACUUGCCCAGAUGAACACCCAAAAGAUUUUUAGAAAGAUUACGUAAGAUUUGAAAAAUUAUGUAAAAUUGCGAUGUUCAUUUUGACUGAGAUUCCACUUAAAACUCCCAAAAGAAUCGAUAUUUCGGAUAUAAGAUAAAUGUUUUAAUUUUUUUUAUUCGAAUCUCAGAGCUCAAUCUAUGCCGAGAAACAAACAAAAAUCUAUAACAACUUUUCAGAGAGUACAGGAGGAAAUAUUUUGAGACCUUUUCUCAUCAUUUUUAAAAUACUAGUAAACAACACAUGCGAUGCACGUGAAAAUCACACACUAACAAAAUCAGAGCAUAAGUCACCCAACCAUUUCAAUAAUAAAAUAGUUUUAAUAAAAAAAAUUAAAAAAAAAACAUAUGAGCAAGAUUCUCAUGGAUGAUUUACAUAUGUACAUGUCAACCACAGUGUUGUGGUUCAAGUUUUCCCAACUUAUGUUGUGUACUAAAAAGAAACCUAAUAAAUGGAGGAAUAAACACAAGCAUACUUCUGCAUAUAUAAUAAAAAAUAGACAAAAAAAAAAAAGAAAAACAUGAUUUGAUUCAUUUUUCAUCUUUUGCAUUUUGUUGUGACUUGUUAAUAUGAAUGAAAAAAUGAGAUAUUUAUAACAAGAUUUGGAAAGAAGAAAUUUGAAAGGUUGAAAGAGAUAGGGAAUGUGAAUAGUUGAGAGAUAGAAGAUUAAGGGAGAGAUGAGAAUAUGAAUGAAUUUGGAUAAAUUUAAAUAACAAAAUUAAUUUGAGUGGUUUUUUUAACAAAAGUUAUAAUAAGGAGAUUGAAAAGUUAAAAAAAUCAUUCCCACUGUCAUAAAAGUUAUAAUGAAAAUGAUAUAAAUAUUAAAUCUAUAUAAAUGACAAAAUUGCGACUCAACCAAAACUAGAAAGUGAUACAAUGAAAGGGUAAAAGCACGAACUUAAAUAUUUUUGCCACAUCAACACUUUCGUCAGCAUCCCAUUAGAGUACUAACAUUCAAUUACCCUAAAAACUAAAAAGAGAGCAUUGCUUAAACAUCAAAGGCAGAGUUUGAAAUGAUUGCUUUAAUGAUUUUCAUUACUAAUAAGUUUUUGUAUAGCAUCCUUUGCUUUUCAUUGAUUACAGUUUUGCCAAUACUCUCUAUAAAACAGUAAAAAGAGCAAACGUCCAACAAAAGUCCAAUCAAAAGCUAAACAUUAUCCAAAUUAUAUGAACUUUUUAUAUUGGGCCAUAAUGACUCCAAUCAUCACUUGUUACAGAAGAAAUUAAAGGGAAGUUUUGGAGAAGAGUAUUGAGAAGAAAGUAUCAUGGAGGCAAACACAGCAUUUGCUGCUUCUGUAUAGUGAACUCCGUCCCAACUUACAUACUUCAAUCCUUCAUUGCACGUGUUGAAUCCCGGCUGGCCGCAAGUAACGGUCUGGUUGAAGUUGUAUGGUGGUCCUCCAUAGCCACAACACACAAUCAAUGGAUUCUCAAACCCUGCACAAUGUAGAUGUCAAGAUUAUCAUGUUGCUGAUUCUUGUUAGAAGAAGAUGAUGAUAAUUAUAUAAUUGGCAAUACCGUUGGAGACAGAGUUGGUUAUGAGGUCAUAUUUGAUGGCGUAGACGUCUACAUACACGAGGGUGGCAUUUGUCAAAGCAGAUCUUAGUUCUCCACAUGCAACUCUUAGCUGAGUGUUGAACUCUUUUGCAGCGUUGUUGAAGGAUUGGAGGCAUCCAUGAUUGUCAAUGUCACUGGCAUUUGCAUCUGCAUAAGCUGUAGCGAGCUUUUGAGGUAAACAGCCCAAUGGCCCUGUGUUGUGUAUCCAAAAAUUUCUUCCUCCAUGUUGGUAUAUGGUCUACGUAUGGAUUGAAAAGCAAUUAAGGGAAAGAAGCAAAAACAUAAGAAUCUAGACAGUUUUCUUUUUAACUUCUACUUUUAAGGCCAGAAGAAAUAUUUACAACAUGCCCUUCGACUUUCUGAUAUUAGAUGUGUAGAUUGAGAAUUUUCUAAAAAUGGAGAAUUAACUAAACUUCAGGUCUCACUUCAGACUUUUAUACUGUCAUUUCUAUCAUAUUUUCUACAUACUAAUAUUUGAGUCUAACACAAAGUGAUUUUAUAUCUGCUAAUAUUUGAGUCUAUACAUGAGGUGAUUUUAUAUCUACUAAUAUUUGAGUCUAACACAUAUGGUGAUUUUAUAUCUACUAAUAUUUGAGUCUAACACAUAAGGUGAUUUUAUAUCUGCUAAUAUUUGAGUCUAACACAUAAGGUGGAGUAUUGAAAAUAAAUCAAAAGAUUUCUCACGACUCAUUUAGCUUAAACUUUUAGGUGGUAAAUAGUGUAGAAAUUGAAGGCUAACCCAUAUGGCAUUUUUUAUCUCAGAAACAAAAGAGGGAAUUUGCUGAAUGACUUGUGGAUAAGACAAGUAGGUGAAUGCAGCAGCAAGAUCAUUUUGUCCGAUGUCAAUUGUGUAAAGUGCAUUAUUGAACCCUUCUUCAUCAACCAAGUCUUUAUAACCUACAUCAGUUCAAUUGGCUUAGAAACCUUAGUCAAUAGGAGAAUGAAGAGAUGCUUCCUAUCUAUUAAGGAUGUGCCGUGUGUGUUUAAUCAACUACUACCUUUUGGAAUAAGCUCGAGGGAGCGUGAUUGAAAUUGAAGGAAUUGCAUAAUUUGAAUAUACAAAUUAAAUGGACGAUCCUUUGGCAGAGUAGCUGAACCAGAUAUAGCAAAGUUGGCUCCAUUGGUGAAAUUUGGGCCCACAGAUCGCAGAUAUGGGGUCAAAUAAUCAGAAUUCACACUUUCACCUGAGGAAGAAUUUGCAUUUUAGUAAGAAAAUCAAACUAUUGAGCACUUGUUUUGUUGGAUCAGAGUACGUACAUAGAAAAUCAAUCAUUAAACGUCCAUCGCAUAAUCUUCCUGCUGGUUUAUGGAAGAAUGUACGUCCAGUUGGGAGUCCGAAUUUGAUGCCAAGUCCCUCAGAAAAACCACCAGUAUCAGAAUUCGAGUCACCAAAGUUGAAAAUAACUGGCUUUUGGAUGCACUGGGAAUGAACAAAAAGAGGAUCAGGUAGAGAAAGUAGGAAGAAGAUCAGAAACAAUGGAAAAGGGGAGGAAUCCCUCUUCUCUUCCUCCAUUUCUGUAAUCAGAUUCAUUAACCCUCUUGUUUAUGGUAACUAAUGAUCACAAAUAAAUAAAGAGCAGAGAGACAAUGUCAUGUGUAGUGAGUACUAAAGAUCCCAGUUGCACUCCAUGUGCUCUCUUUGAGAUUUCCUUGGGUCUCAGCUAGUUAAGCACUCAAAGCGUAUUGAAUUCACAAGAAGCCAAAUUAAAAAUUCUAAAAAAAAAUCUGAUAUGAUCGAUUAAUGUCUUCCACGAUUAAUAAGAUUAAAGUCGUUUGGGCCCAAUAAGAAGAAAAAAAGGUUUAUGACCAGCCUCCACUUUUAUCCAUCCAACUUACUACCACUUACCAGAAGGAAAAAUGGCAAGAUUCAUAUAACUCUUCCUACACAAACCUUUCAAGAGGGAGAGUAUCGGCAUUACUUUCCAAGAAACUACCAUUUUUGUCCAAUUUGGAGAAUUUUCACCGGUUCUGAUGCAAGUUGGUGGUAAGUUGCUUUAACUUGUAAAGAAUGGUGGAGAGAAACUGCAAAUCCUGACAUCAGACAAAAGUGAGAGAGCACAAAAAGAUGUUGAAUAUAGUUUUCUUAUUUUGUUUUAUUUUGGGAUUGCACUAUUCCUUAUGCUAGUCCGUGAGUAACAGAUCCCUGAAGAAAAGAAUAGAGAGAGAGUAAGUUAAAACUUAGAAGAACCUUAUCCUGAGUAUCAAAAAAUCUGUCGUUUUCUCUUAGUGACAAGAACCUCAGUUUCGUCCAUACAGUGACUACCGACAUUUAGCAACUUGAUGCCAAUUAGUGAAUGUCACAUGAACAUCAUGUUGAAUUAUAAUAAUGCUACUAAAAUAUAAUAUUAAGACAACACACGCAUUCAGCAUCCCCCAGUACAAGCUACCUGGAAAUUUUCUGGAGAGAAUGUAUGAGAAAAGCAUGUGGUAAGGAAUUCAUACAAAUAAGAUCUUAAUAUUCCAUAUUAUCCUUGUUUUCGAAGAGAACAUGAGCAUCUGAGUAACAUGGAUAUCAGAAAGUAAUUUCAUGAACAUCUGAAAGAAAUAAAUGGGAAAAUAAUAUCUCCACACAAUAUUUUGAUAUAUAAUAUUCUCCACAAUUGAAAGUAAUCGGUAUUAUUCCCAUUUUUGCCUGAUAAAUGAAGGCAUUAACAACGGUUUAUGCAGUGUGGCUCUUGGAUUGGUAAUAGGACGACUCAGAUAAAGCCGAUAACUACCCAAAAGCUCACAUGAAUUUAAGACUCCGAUGUACUUUACAAAUUAGAAAAGGAAAAAGGCUGCAGAACUACAAGUGCUUGGCUUCUGCAGCCUAUAACAUUGAGCAGCAAUUAGUUUGUUGAUACAAUUCAAAGUUGGAUUGCCAACUAAAAGCUAUUCCUAUUCGAGUAAACUACAUGCAAAUCGACCAUCAGAAAAAGUUAUUUUAUCUGAAUUUGUUACUGCAUCCAUAGGGAUAGGGCUGAAGCUUCGUGACGGGCCAUAGAAAUGAGGAAAGCUAUUGCAACCAUCAACAAGUUCAUAAAUCAAUCCAUCACCAAGCUGCAAAGAAAAAGAUUAAUGUAAUACCAAAUAUAAUUAUAGACGAUGUAAAAACAUGUAAAAUGGAAAAAAGGCCAAACGUUUAUAACAUGUAAAAUGGAAAAAUAGGCCAAAGUCUCAGUGAUAAUAAAAUUUUUGUGGUUAGAGACUUGUUCAGUUUAAGUCUAUACUUUUAAAUAUCCAAAUUUAGUCCCCAGUCUUUCAAUAAAUCUUAAAAAUGUUCCCUACUGUUGGUUUAGUGUUAUUAAAAAAGAGUCUCCACUAGCCUUCACUCAUAAAUCUUGGGAACGUUCUCAUUGUGUCUUUUCUUGACCGGAAAUUAUUAUAAUUGUUGUUGAUCAAAUUUGAGAAAAACUCACUUCAAACCAACACUAACUACGGACUCAUUUUAUGUUUUAUUGAAUGUACAUGAACUAAAUUUAGACAUUUGAAACUACAGGGAGUCAUGGACCAUAUAAACUAAGUUUGUUUCAUUUACUCUUGUCAAACUGAAUGUCUAUAAAGCUUUAGCUAUCUUUCAAUAACAGAAGAUGACUAUUGAGUACUGGGACAGCAUUCUUAAGAACAUUUCCAAUACGAGCCACAAAGUUUUUUAGUAUAACCAGGGCCUUAAACUAAUGAUAUUUGAUGAAGGAUAUAAUUUGGUAAUAUGUAUAUCCAUCGAGUUCCAUGGUGGAGUCAACAAACUAGAUGGUUAUGACUUAUACGCUAGCUUGCACGAUCACAGUUUUUGAAGCCAAGGGACAGUACAAAUCACUAGAAAUUUAUCUUCUACCCUUUUAUAUUAAUCGCACAAUGCAGACACGAGAGAAAAAAGGAAAGGCAUCUCUGUACCUUUUUGGCCUCAAUUUGAAGGAGAUACAAUUCAUCUUUGAUAUUCAGGAAGAAAUUCUGCAAAGUUGACUGGACCUGCAUGACAAUUCAUCAUCUGUCAUUUAAACUUUGGUUCUUUCCUAAAGUUAAGGCUUUAAAAUAAGAACUGGCGAAUGCAUAAAAUUUGACUGGGCAACCAAAUUAAGCGAUGGAUAUUGACUCUAUAAUAGUCUCAUGCCGCUAAAUUCCAAUUUGGUGAAACUACAUUUGAAUUCUCUAAGUUGGCUUUCAAUUUCACCUUGCAAACUACUUUUACGUCAGUUUAGUACCUUGGACCGAUAAGUGUAGCAUGAAAAGAGUUGUUAUAUAUAUAUAAUUAAAACAGGGUUUACCCUAUAUCAGAUGAAGCGAAAGAAAGGGUAGGAUUAAGCAAACACAUUGCAAGCUGAAAUGAGGAAAUAUGGUUUGUGGAAAGAGCAAAAUUGUCGUAUAGGAGAGGAAAUAAGAGAAUGUGAUGAGAUUAGAGAAGGAGAGAGAGAGAGAGAACCUGAUCGAGGUUACUGAGAUGAAUGAAACCGGAAGAUUUGUCGAGGUGUCCUCCACAGAUAUGACCAAGGCGGUGUGAUUCAUCCCACUCCUUGGAGGUACUGAUUCUGUAAACAAACUCUUCGGUAGGUGCAGAAUUUUGUUCCUCAUUCUGGUCUGCCAUUUCUAAGUUUGUGAUUCAAUGAGUCACCGGAAUCAGGUUUGGAUAGGUAGAGAUGAUUGGGGAUAUGAAAUGACCACAUAAAUAACUACAAUUUCUUUUCUUUUUAUCUACACACACGUUUAUAGGAUCAUCGUUGUAAAUUGUAAUAGUUUUUCUCUAUUUCUUCUAAGAUGUAAGGGUGUUACUCAACAACAAUUUAUAAUCCUCUCAAAUUCAAAUUAGCAAUUAACAGAAUCUCCUCCUAAAACAAGUUUUUAUAAAACUUCAAAAUUAACUUAAAUGAUGUAUGCUUUUUUAGAAUAAUUUUCUAACUGUUUAUAAUAAUAUAUAAUAUAUAUAUAUAUAUAAACAUGCUUCUACAUUAGUUUGUGAUACUUCCAUUACUUUUCCUUUUAGCCCAUCAAUUGUUUUACAAAAGAAGUUUUAUAUAUUUAUUUGAUAAUUAUUUUACAAAUAUCGACCAUUAACAAGUAAAACCAAGUAUUAAGGAAACAAUGAAGCUAAAACUAACCAAAACAAUGGUCUGAUACGUCAUUUGAGAAAGAAGAUUCAAAUUAUCACGAUGCCCUUGGGGUAGGCCACAAUGUUGUGGCUGCACCAAUAGCAAAAGUUUGUUGAGGCUACGAGCAUUGCAAUGCUCCACAUUGUUGGAGCAUGACGCCAUCCAUAGAAGACCUUGAUGCGAAAAGCGCCGUGGUGCUCUAGAGUUUGUCAGAAAUGUGAUCACGUGCACUCGAGAGGGGAGCCAUAGCACAUCACUCUAAUUCAAGGGUAGCAUUGUCGUGGAUCUGUCACAAUUAUUAUAAACCUUAGUUGCUAGCUCUAUUCAUCAUCUUCCUAAUUCCUCCCAUAUAUAUUAUUCUCAUCCUCUUUUGUACCUAACUAUUAUUGUGUAACGUAACUAGUUCAAGCUUAGGUUUAGAAGAUUUCUUCUUUUUGAUUAAUUUGUGAGACUUGGUCUUCAUCAAAACUUUUUUAUACUUGUGUCUUUGGAUUUUCUCUCUGGAAUGAAUCAAAUAUUACUCAUUUUAUUUAUGGAUUGUCUGACAAACUUUUCUACAUUGCAUGAUUAGUUGAUAAUGAUUUAAACUUCGUUAAAUACCUAAAUCACCAAGUAGCGAAAUGUUAGAUUAACUUGUUAAUUGUGAAUCGACCACUAAUCAACAUUGCUCUAAUCAACCUAGAGAAAAAUCACAUUCAGUUUUCUAAUUAGGAAUUACUGUUAAAAUUCUUCGUUUGCGUAAUCCCUAAAACUCAAUGCAAUUAAUUCAAAUGAAUAGCACGUGUGUCAACUACCGACGUUGGCUAAUUAGUUAAUUAGGAGGUUAAUUAACAUUACUAACCAAUUUUGCUAGGCUUAGAGAAGUGGGAUCUAGAGUUUGAUGAUCAACUAUACAAAUUGGGGGAAGCUUCAAAAUAAACCGAAGCUACGCCUUCUUUAUCCUAAUUUCACAUCCUCACCUACUUUUGAUUGCCAACGAUUUACUUGCACAAUUUAAUUUUACACCAUCUUUUAAUCUCAAAGAAAACAUCAAACUAAAUCCUUUGGUUGUCUCAAGGUUUCGCUCAUUUUAAUUGAGAAACACAAUGAAGUUUCGCUCAUUCUAAUUGAGAAACACAGUUAUUUUUAGUGAUUCGACCUCAUACUAGGCUAAUACUACGAAACUAAGGUAGGUAACAAAUUAAAUUUGUAAGUUCGGAAGAUUUGACACCCUUCAGUGAGCAACUAAGUAUUAACUCACUCUCACAUUUAGGGUUUUGCUUCCACUUUCAUCCUUUUAUUUUGCACAAUAUUGAGGUAUUAAAAAAUACAAGAUGUAUAUCUCAUUUUAUUCUCUAUUAAACAUUUUGGUUUCUAGAAUGGAACAAGUCAUUGCACCAAGAAUCAGUUUGACAGGAAACAUAUUGAUAAACCACCAAUAUUAUAUCAAUAUAGUAGGAGAGAAAAAAAGAAAUAACACGUGAGGGAAAUGCAAGUGUGAGUGAAGGAAAGGGUAGCAAUAUAACUAAACUUUGUUGUGGACGGGAAAGGUAGUUAGGAUUUGAGUUUUAGAAUCUUUUCUGUUCUUCCUUGAAAGAUAGGAAAAAAGGAGAUUUGUAUUUCUUCUAUUUCUACUACUAUCAAUAAUAUCGAAUUCACCUUCUACCUACGAGUUCUAUCAAAUUGGUAUCAGAGCGCGUGAUUAUGAGCUAGCAAAUUGAAAAUGGUGCAAACAAAAAUUGAAUAAAAGAUGGAGACGUUUGAUCAAGAAAUUCAAGGAAUCAAAAAAGAAAUCGAAAAAUUACCAACAAUAGAAAAAACGUUGAACGAUCUGGCGAAGGGCUUGGAAAGACAAAAUAAAAUGAUGAUAUGAUUCAUGGAAUCGGCGGCACAAGAGAGAUUGACGAUGAACGAGAAGAUUACUGAAUUAUCGAUGCAGAUUACUGUGAUGAAGAGUAAUAGUGAAGGCGAAGGAUCAUCAAGUCGCGAAAGUAUACUGAAGAACGAAGAGAAGAAAACAAAUGAGGAUAAUAAUGGCAAUCGAAAUAAGUUCAAGAAAGUGGAGAUGCCAAUCUUCAAUGGAGACGAUCCCGAUUCGUGGCUAUUUAACUGAAAGGUACUUUCAAAUCUAUAAACUUACUCAUUUCGAAAAAAAUGACUGUGGCGACUAUAAGUUUUGAAGGCCCGGCUUUAAAUUGGUAUCGGUCUCAAGAAGAGCAGGAGAAAUUUACCGAUUGGACGAAUUUAAAAGAGAGAGUAUUAGUUCGAUUUUGAUCAAUGAGGGAGGGCUCAUUGUAUGGUCGAUUCUUGCAAAUACAACAGAUGACAACCGUGAAGGAGUAUCGAAAUCUGUUUGAUAAACUAGUAGCACCUUUAUCUGACUUGCUUGAGAAUGUGGUAGAGGAAACCUCUAUGUCGGGAUUAAAACCAUUGAUUCAAGCUGAAAUAGACUUCUGUGAAUCUAAGGGAUUAUCACAGAUGAUGAGAAUUGCUCAUAAGGUAGAAAACAGAGAGGGUAUUAGAAGAGAAGCAAACCUUCAUGGAUAUUCAAGAGGAAAAUUGAAUAGUUCUGGAAGUAGUAUCAAAGUUAAUACGACUGUGAAUUCUGGAGAUAAUAAGGGAAGUAUGAAUUGGCCGAUGAGGACAAUUACUUUGAGAGGGACUUCAAGUGAAGAAUUACGAAAAAAAGGUCCCACAAAACGGCUUUCUGAUGUCGAGUUUCAAUCACGAAGAGAGAAGGGUCUAUGUUUCCGAUGCAAUGAGAAAUAUUCUCAUGACCAUAAGUGUAAAACUAAGGAGCAUAUGGAAUUACGUAUGCUGGUAGUAAUGGGAGAGAAUGUUGAGUAUGAAAUCAUUGAAGAAGAUAACACUGAGGGAGUUGAACACGAUUGAGGUUACAGGAGAAGAACAAACAGUGGUAGAAUUGUCAAUAAAUUCAGUGGUGGGGCUAUCCAAUCAUGGAACAAUGAAGGUGAAGGGAAAGUUACAAGGAAGAGAAGUCAUUGUAUUGAUAGAUUGUGGAGCUACACACAAUUUUAUCUCAUAAGGUUUAGUUAAGGAGUUACAGAUUAAUACCAAGAUUACCUCAUAUUAUGGGGUCAUUUUGGGUUCGGGAACAGCUAUUAAAGGAAAAGGAGUUUGUGAAGCCAUUGAAAUAAUGUUAGGAGACUGGAGGGUGGUUGAUGAAUUCUUACCUUUGGAGUUAGGAGGGGUGGAUGCAAUAUUGGAAAUGCAAUGGUUGUAUUCUUUAGGUAUAACCGAGGUGGAUUGGAAGAAUUUGAUCUUGACAUUUACACAUCAAGGGAAGAAGGUGGUUAUAAGGGGGGAUCCAAGCCAAACAAAGGCAAGGGUCAACUUAAAAAAUCUCAUGAAAUCCUGGGGAGAAGAGGAUCAUGGAUUUUUAGUAGAGUGUCGUGCAUUGGAAAGGAGAGAGUCAUUGGAAGAGGAAGAUUCGUUUGAUGAAGUGUUGACUAUAGAAGAAUCUGUGGCAGUGGUGUUGAAAAGAUUUGAGGACGUAUUUGAAUGGCCCGAGACAUUACCUCCACAAAGAUUGAUAGAACAUCAUAUCCAUCUUAAAAAGGGAACUGACCCAGUAAAUGUUCGUCCUUAUCGGUAUGCAUAUCAACAAAAGACAGAGAUGGAAAGAUUAGUGGAAGAGAUGCUAGCAUCAGAGGUAAUAAGGCCGAGUACGAGCCCUUAUUCCAGUCCCGUAUUGCUGGUGAGAAAGAAGGAUGGGAGCUUGCGUUUUUAUGUAGAUUACAGGGCUCUAAAUAAUGUAACUGUAUCAGAUAAGUUUCCAAUACAAGUGAUUGAGGAGUUGUUUGAUGAGUUACAUGGAGCUACUAUGUUCACUAAGAUAGAUCUUAAGUCAGGAUAUCAUCAAAUUAGGAUGUGUGCAGAUGAUAUUGAAAAGACAGCUUUCCGAACCCAUGAGGGUCACUGUGAAUUUAUGGUGAUGCCAUUUGGAUUGACAAACGCAUCGUCCACUUUUCAGUCACUAAUGAAUACUAUAUUCAGGCCAUACCUUCGAAAGUUUGUCUUAGUAUUUUUUGAUGAUAUUCUGGUUUAUAGCAAAGGAUUGGAAGAUCAUUUGAACCAUAUGAAAGCAGUGUUAGAAGUAUUGAGGAAGAAUGAAUUAUAUGCGAAUAAGAAGUGUAGUUUUGCUCAUUUUGAGUGGACUACCUGGGGCACAUUAUUUCGGAAAAUGGAGUUGAAGUGGAUCCUGAGAAGAUCAGGGCUAUAAAGGAGUGGCCAGUUCCAGUUAAUGUAAGAGAGGUUCGAGGAUUUCUUGGGUUGACUGAAUAUUAUCACAAAUUUGUUCAAAAUUAUGGAACAAUUGCUGCUCCUCUAACACAGUUGCUGAAGAUAGGAGGGUUUAAAUGGACAGAGGAAACACAAGGGGCUUUCAACAGGCUACAACAAGCGAUGAUGUCUCUUUCUGUAUUGGCUCUACCUAAUUUCAGUGUGCCAUUUGAAAUCGAAACUGAUGCUUCAGGGUAUGGAUUAGGAGUUGUAUUGGUACAAAACAAGUGGCCAAUUGCUUAUUAUAUAGCCAUACUUUGGCAAUAAGAGACCGGGCUAAACAUGUAUACAAAAGGGAGUUGAUGGCAGUGAUUAUGGCUAUACAAAGGUGGCAUUCAUGCUUAUUGGGAAAGAAGUUUCUAGUCAAAACUGAUCAACGGUCUCUAAAGUUUUUGUUGGAGCAAAGGGUGAUUCAACCUCAAUAUCAGAAAUGGAUAUCCAAACUUCUCGGAUACUCAUUUGAAGUGAUUUAUAAACCGGGGUUGGAACAUAAAGCAGCAGACGCAUUAUCUAAAGUACCAGCAACUGUGCAUUUGAAUAAGUUAAUAGCUCCAAAUGUGAUUGAUAUAGAAGUGAUUAAAGCAGAGGUAGAUCAAGAUGAGAAGUUGAAGAAUAUUAAGCAGGGAACUUGUGAGACAGCAGCGGCAGAGGAUAGUAAGUAUUCAAUGAAGAGGGGGAUGUUGAUGUAUAAAGAUAGAAUGGUGUUAUCUAAAACAUCCAAAUUAAUUCCAACAAUCUUGCAACAUUACCAUGAUUCAGUAUUCGAUGGUCAUUCAGGGUUCCUACGAACUUAUAAGAGGAUGGUUGGGGAGUUGUAUUGGGAAGGAAUGAAACAGGAAGUGAAGAAAUACUGUAAGGAGUGUAUGAUCUGUCAACGCAAUAAGACCUUGGCUCUUUCACCAACUGGUUUAUUAACUCCUCUAGAAGUGCCAAAUAGAGUGUGGGGGGAUAUAUCAAUGGAUUUUGUGGAAGGAUUACCUAAGGCAGGAGGUUAUGAGGUGAUAUUUGUAGUGGUUGACCGAUUUAGUAAAUAUGGGCAUUUCAUCCCUAUGAAACAUCCAUAUACAGCAAAAGUCGUGUCUGAAAUAUUUGUGAAGGAAAUAGUGCGUUUACAUGGAUAUCCCAAAUCCAUAGUAUCGAAUAGAGAUAAGGUGUUUUUGAGUCACUUUUGGAGAGAAUUGUUUCGUCUGGCAGGAACCAAAUUGAACCAUAGCAUAGCAUAUCAUCCACAAAUCGAUGGGCAAACGGAGGUUGUUAACAGAGUAGUGGAGAGUUUUUUGCGCUGUUUUUGUGGGGAGAAGCCAAGGGAGUAGAUUAAAUGGAUUCCUUGGACAGAAUACUGGUAUAAUACAACAUAUCAGCGUUCAUUGGGAGUCACACCAUUUCAGGCGAUGUAUGGGAGAUUGCCACCUCCUUUGAUAAAUUAUGGAGAGAGAGAUACUGCUAAUUCCACAUUGGAUGAGCAGUUGAAAGAAAGAGAUGUGGUGUUGGGAGCCCUACGAGAACAUUUGAGAGUCGCACAAGACAAAAUGAACAAGUAUGUAGAUGCCAAGAGGAGAGAAGUUCAUUACCAAGUUGGAGAUUUGGUAUUGCCGAAAAUAAGGCCUUAUCAGCAGAUGUCUUUGAGAAGAAAAAGAAAUGAAAAACUUUCACCGAAAUUCUUCAGGCCUUAUAGAGUCAUAGCUAAGAUUGGACCGGUAGCUUAUAAAUUGGAAUUGCCAGAAAAUGCUACUAUACAUCCGAUAUUCCAUGUCUCUCAGUUAAAGAAAGUACUUGGAAAGCAUGAUGAGAAUAGAAAUGGCAUGCCCUGUUUAACUGAAAAUCAUGAAUGGAAAGAUGUUCCAGAGGAGGUUUACGAAUAUUUGAAAAACAAAGCGGGAAGUUGGGAUGUAUUGGUGCAGUGGAAAGGUCUACCGCGACAUGAGGCUACCUGAGAGUUAUAUGAAGAUUUGAAGCAGUGAUUUCCAGAUUUUCACCUUGAGGACAUGGUGAAUUUGGAGAAGGAGAGUAAUGAUAGACCACCAAUAUUAUAUCAAUAUAGUAGGAGAAAAAAAAAGAAAUAACACGUGAGGAAAAGGCACGUGUGAGUGAAGGGAAGGGUGGCAAUAUAAAUAAACUUUGUUGUGGACGGGAAAGGUAGUUAGGAUUUGAGUUUUAGAAUCCUUGAAAUAUAGGGAAACAGGGGAUUUGUAUUUCUUCUAUUUCUACUACUAUCAAUAAUAUCAAAUUCACCUUCUACCUACGAGUUCUAUCACAUAUCUCAUACAGAAAACAUAUUUUCCCCGAGAAUACGAAGAAAAAAAAAAUGAACCUCAGAAAUAUGGUCAUCAUGGCAAGCUGGAUGAAGUAAAAUAUGGCCAAUAAUUCAAUAUUUGCAUGGAGAUUGAUGGGAAAUAUCCAUCCAAUGUCAUAUAAUGUAAAUAAUUUUCAUUUUCAAAACACUAAGGCCCCUAAAACAUAUGCUCAAACACAUUUUGGAAAAUAAGAACAUUGAGAGAACGUAUAAGAACAGUGAGGCAUUUCUGUUUGCAGCUCCCAUGGCCAAGAAUAUUUCCGAAGUAAUGUGUUCAACGAAAGAAAGCAAAUGGAACUUUUCCUAGGUCAGCUGGAUGAGAUUUCAUACUUGAGAAAGCCGCUCGCAACGUAAUGAAACUUGAUGGCAAAAACAGGAGGAACGUUUAAAAUGAUAGAUCUUGGUUUAUACUGUCUUCAACUUGAAAAAUUCCAAAUAGAGAUGUGAUCGUACUGGGUCUUGGUGAUCUUCAUGACAGCCAGAUCCGAGUUUCUGAAUUUCUAUAUACAUUCAUACCCUCAUGAAGCUAUAGAGUUGGUAACUCAUGAGACAGUUCUUGAACCAAUCACCUCAUUUUCUUUCUAACUAUCUUUUUGAAGCGAAUAGUGCUUUGUGCUUAUUUGGACAAUGCAUUGAACACGAGAGCGUACAGUUCUAAGCCAGAGGUAGUGUCUACAUCCUACCAUGCAAAGCUUUCUAGAGGAGGCUAUGGGAGGUUCCAUUUCUAAUCCGCCAAACAGUUGAUGUAGAUGCUGCGGCUAGCCUCAAGAGGUUAUUUGUCAAUUUCCAGCUCCACGAUCUUGUUUGGCAUCCUGCUGUUGAAAUGCAGUUAAUGUGUUGAUGCUCUGUUGGUUUUCAGUUUUUCACUGAGUGAAAAAUAUAGACCCUUGACAUGUGGGGAAAAAAACCAUUUAACAUGGAGAUGAAUUCGAAUUUGACAGAACUGCUGAAUAACUCAUUGUUCCAGGGGAGGCAUUUUUUUUAUCCAAAAAAUAUCAUCCAUUUUCUUUGACAAGUUCUGAAGAGCCUCAUGUUUAUUUGCCAGUUCCAUGAGUACUUUGAUCCUUUUAAACGAGGUGUAACUUGGCUUAUGCCCCUUAUCUACCAUCUGCAGAAAACAGCUCUCAGCUUCUAUCAACUUUCCCAAAUCACAAAGAAGAUCAAAUAACUCCUCAGAAACUAAUAUAUAAGACCCAAAACCCUUUUGUAUCAUAUCAUUCCACAGCUCCAAUGCCAUUUCUUCCUUUUCAUACUUCUUAAACAACCUCACUAGGAACAAGCAGGAUUGUGUAUUAGGCAAGCACCCCGUAUCCAUCAUUCGACGAUAUAAAUUCCAUGCGCUUUGUAAGUCAUUCGACCAGAAGAAAAUCCUAAAGAACAAGUUGUAUGUCGUUGCAUUUGGACUCAGACCCUUAUUCACCAUUUCAUCCAACAAAUCAAAAGCCUCAUGAAGCCUCUUCGCAAUGCAAAAAUUCCGUAUUGUAGCAUUGUACGCUGCAACAUCAGGGUAACAUCCAUACUCCUUCAUUUCUUUCAAAAUAUUUCUGGCUUUAUCGGGUUGACCAACCAAUCCCAAUCCCCCAAUAAUACUAGUGUAUGUAAUCACAUCAGCAGGUAUAUCUUCAUCCCUCAUUUUCCCAACCACCUUAAACGCCUUGUCCAUUUCCCUAUUCUUACAAUAAACAUCAACUAAACAAUUAUAUGAAACAACAUCAGGUUUAACCCCCAUUUCUAUCAUCUCAUCAAAGAAUCCUUCAGCUUCUUCUGACGACUUCCAACCCGACAAUAAUAUGUUAAACGUCUGCAAAUUCGGCCUAAACAUACUCUUCAAACCGUGGUAAACAUUCCUCGCAUCCAUCAUACUCUUCUCCUGGCACAGAGUUCUCAGCAAUGCAUUAAAACAAGUGACAUCAAACUCAGGAACAAACUUCUUGAACUUCCUAAAAGACUCUACAGUUUGCCUCACAGAACAAACUUUGGCAAUUCUUCCUAAAACAACCAUAACAGUUCGAAGCGAGAUUAACGACGGAUCCUUAAACUUAACAUCAAGCAAAACAUCCCAAAUUUUGUCGAACUUCCGGCUUCUACCUAGUAUAUAAAGCAUUGUAUCAACAGAAAACGAAGUGUGAUAAAAUCCCCUUCUUUUAGCAGUGUAAUUAAAGAAUUCCAAAGCCUGUAAGGGAUUGCCGUGACUAAACCUAACCCUCUUAAGAACCCCGUCGAUCAGUUCAUUUGAGAGAAAAACCCUACUCGAUUCCAGAGAAUGUUUCAUGUCUGUUGAAGAGGAGGAAGUAGUAAUAAUGCGGAAAACUGUUUCUAUGUUUUGGUGUAGCGAUUGAUUAUCAGUGGAAGAUGAAAAUGGGUGGGAGAAAAAAAUUGAUAAUGGGAUUGGGGAGAAGUACCUGAGGGGCGAUUGAAAGAAGUUUGGGCGUCGGAGAAUCAUCGUGGGCUUCGUUGGGAUGAAAUUGAAUUGAGGUGGAGCGGGCAAAAGAGUUUAGGUUUGCAAAUUGAACCGUGAGAAGACGGCGUUUCUAAAACGAAGAACGAAGCAUGUAUUCAAUAUAUGUAACGUUACUUCUUUUAAACACAAACUCAAAUAGCUACAGCAAAAUAAUAUAAAUACUGCUUUUAAUAUUUUCAUUUUUUAAUAAUUUUAUUUCAUUUUAAAAUUACCGACUAAAAUAUGUAUAUUUCAUUAUUAAAUAAACAAAUAUAUAGUAUGAAAACUAUUAGAUAAACUAUAAAAAAAAAAAUACUGAAGCCGUGGAGUGGACCCUAACAUUGAGCCAAACUCAAGUGUGUUUGCAUGGCUCGCUCGUUCUCACUAGAUCAAGGAAAGUUGUGUGUCCAGUUUUGCUCCAAAUCAAAACCACCACCCUACUUUUAUCCAUAAUUUGGAAAACAACAUUAUUCACCGCUAAUAUAAUAUAGAUACAUAAUUUGGAAAACAACCUCAUUUUCUUUUCUUCCUAUUGUUGCCUUGUAUUUUUUUCUAUCUUAUCAUUUCUUUUAAUUGAAUAUCCUAUCUCAUCUUGCGGCUCAAUCCAAUGCCACCACAUUUCUUCAACAAUUGCACAUUCAAUUCCUUCAAAUUUACAAACAAAUGAUAAGAUAGAAUUUUUAUCGAAGUUUGGUAUUCGAGGUGGUUAGCAGAACCUAAAAUUGACUGUCGGAGUUUGUCGUCAAAGAAUUGAACGUCAAAGUUGGAUGUGUGAAAGUGGUAGUCAAAGUCAAUUCUUUGAGUGUGGCAUAGUAAUUGUCAAUGAUGGUUGAUACGUAAAUCUCUUGAAAACAUUGAAGAGAAUGGAGAGUUUGAAUAAUAUAAAACUCAAUUCCACCCUCAUGAAAAGUGGUGGGCCGAACAAUGAGUUGAUAUGUUACAUCAACAUCUCACCCCAUGUUGGGUUUAGCUUUGUUUCAAAAUUCACUUUUUUUAACCAUGGUCAUUUCGCUAAAUACUCACUUCCAGUUAUUAGUGUCGAUGUCUGUUAAUUAAUUUUAAAAGAAUUAAAUUGAUUAAAAUUAAGUUAAUUUUUACUAAUUUUUGUAAAACUAUUAAUAUUAACUAAAAACAUUUCAAAACAUAAUUACUUAAAAUUAAUUAACCAAAAAUUAUUGCCAAAGAACAACGUGAAUAUUAGUAAAAUCUCAAGGAUAAAAAUGAAAAUAUAUCAAAUAAAAACUAAACUCUAACACCCUUCUCAAAGGUAUAGAAAUAUAAUUUUCGAAAUCCCAGGAAAAAGAAACGAGACCCAAAAUUUUGAUGAUGCAUCCUCGUUGCUUGGGAAUGUGAAAUUCCAACAAAAUUGAAAUCUAAACCCCUACCUCCCUCCCUGAUCUUCAAAACAUUCCAUUGGAAUACACCACCCAAAAAGACAAAAAAGAAUUCUGGUAUCAAGUUCGAACGGAAGUUCGAAGUUGAGAGAGUGUUAAGCUAGUAUCAUCAAGUUGAAAGUUAGUCAACAAAAGAAAAAAAUAAUAGAUUUUGAGCAAAUUUUCUUUUUGCUAAUUACCAUCUCUUUCUCCACCAAUGCUGAAAGCUCAAUCACGCAAAGAAACAGAAACAAAAACAAAAAGCAAAAGACAACAUCAAAACAAAACAAUGAUCUGAUACAAAAUGACAACGAUGAACAAUGAUGGUUCCACCUCAUCCAUCAAAUUUUCCUCUUCAAUUCAACUCCUGCCAUUUAAAAUUACCUGAAAGUAGCAUACUACGUAUAACAUACCAAGUGGUUUACUAGCAAUCUUUUCUUUUUUUCGAUUCUGUACAUUACUCAGCAAGGUAAUACAAAAUAAUAACAAGUACAUGCUUCAUUCAAGGAUGAAUGACAACAUGCCUCCAGAAAUCGGAGUAUCAACAAAAGAGCAAAGACAGAAGGAUUGAAAUCUAUACCUAAUUGUACGAUGAUACGUAUAACACUAACAAACAGCAUGGUUUAGAAUGAGUCAGAUAACUCGGGGAACUCUGUGAUUGGGAAUUUGCAGAAUAUAGAAUCAAAAAACGCCUUUCCAAAAGAGAUGAAAGCCUGGAAGUUCAUAAAGCAUACCUGGGUGGUUCUGGAGCACGCAUUUACUUCAUAACCUCCCCCUAAUUGUGUAACAAAGCAAGCUCCAAGUAUAGAUAUGAAGUACCCUAUCUCCGUUUUGUAAAUUUAACAUUUUCUGGAUGAUGGAUACAGACCAAGUCUAGACAAAAAUUGGUAAUCCUUAUGGUCAAGUAUAUAUGCACAGCAACAUCACUUGCUGAAAGAAGCUGAGAUUUCCAAUUGAAGAAACCCUACCCUCCAGUUCCAGCAUUGUCGGAUACUACCUUAUCACUUGAAGUAACAGAAUUUGCUUCACUAGAAGUUAGGCCACUUUUCUCACCCUGACCAAGUUCGAAGUUGGAAUCUUGACCAGGGAAAACUUCCGAUUGCAGCGAGGGAGAAAUGUUAUGUACAUGCAACCAUGUGAGUUCCCACAGGCUGUCUCCACCUAACGCACUCCUCUGAACUAGAACCCCCUUAGUUUUCAUAACAAGCAAGUUAUUCUUGAGGAGUUCAGGCACCAACUCCUGAAGCUUCUCGCUUCUUUUUCCUCUAACUUUAGCUUUUGCAUACUUUUCCAUUCUGCUAAGAACACCAAGCCAUAGCUUGCAGAAGGUUGUUAAUUGAGAAAGAUCCUGGAGCAACAAUAAGAACACUUUGAACAAGAGUUUCACGGCAAGGAUCAGUGUUCCUUCCAUGUUUCUGUAAUCUUUCUGAGAGUGUCCUUGUGCAAUUUCUAAUAAAUCAUCAAGCACUGUGAAGAUCACAAGAUCGAAACACUGUAACCACAAAUCAUGUGGAAGGCGGAUUUCAUCAACACCUGCUAAGCACUUUUGCAAUGACAGCAGAGCCUGAUUUCUAACCUCCUCCCUCUGAUCCAAGCAAACUUUUCUCAAACCUUGCACAAGCCUCAGCCACAUGUCUCCAAUAUCUUGCGAAAUUUUAAUAACUUCCUCCUCCCUCACAGCUUCCUUACCCUCCUUAGCCCACCGUCUUAAACAAUCAACAGAUCCAGCCAUAAGAUCCAAAGCACGCAAAGAGCGUUCAACCUGUCCGACACGAGACUCAGCAAAUUGCCUUGAAGCAUCAAUGCAGAGGGUAUAAUUUGCUGGCAACAAGUGAGCACCGUCAGACACAAUGAACAGUAGAGCAUCAAAUCCUGUCUCAGAAGCCUCUGGAUGGCGAGCUGUAAUGGAGAGUAGGGAUGUUAUCGUUCGCCAUCCUGAUGGAGAUCUAAUAUGAGAAGCAUUUGCUUUUACUAGACGACUGACUUCCUGGGUAAUUUGCUCACAGUAGGCAUCAGCUACCCGAGCAUCUAGCUUCAAGACAAGUUGCAGAGAUCUCAAAAGUUCGUCAGCAAGGUUCUCUUUAUAAGGAAGCAACCGCUGGCAGAUCCGGAGAAGUCCAAAAACAGCUUUCUCCACCAGGGCACAGGGCAUGACAGUUGACUGCACAAUGUUAGAUAUAUGAUCAUACACACCAGGCCAAAGAAGUACAAUUCUAUCUCGGUUAUUCAGGGUAAUGGCAAUCAACAAUUCCAGACAGAAGACUGCUGUAUCUUCAUCCUCAGGAGAGCUGUUUCCUUUCUGGGGCCGUCCUGCAGCCCAUAUGAGUGCUUGUGCUAGCUGUAAUAGAGAUUCAGCUUGAAGAAACUUGCUCUCUGUAAAAAUACUGUCAAUAUUGCACUUUUGAAUAGUUUGAAGGGUGCGCUGAUGAGCUGCAAGCUGUUGUUCGGUGGGCUGUGACCUUGGCUCCUCACUGUCAAGAGAUAAGAGCUGACUGAACCGGCCCAUUAAACCAGAGGAUCUCUUGGGAGUUCCAAUCGACUGUAUAUGAGCAACAGAUAACGAACUUGAAAGAGGCUUUCCAUGCCCGGCAUCAGAAGAAAGUUCUGAUUCAUCAGCUGCAUCACUGGCCACACGAGCUGGUAAAAGACCAAGCUUGUGCAAUCGCAAGAUGCAAUCAAGGAUGUUUCUCCAACCUGUGCGAAUGAAGUCACCAUACCUGUUGGCAAUGGUGAAAACAGUCAUAGUAGCCAUCCUGGCUUUUAUAUCGUCACCAAAUGCCAGCACAGGCUCCUCAACAGAUGAUGGGUUCACGAGGGUUGUGAACUUGCAGAGGGACACAACAAGAUCGUCUAGUACAUCUUCAAGGUGAUGGCAUGAGGAGAUCUUUGCAACAGCUAAGAAUCCAUCAAUACACGUUUGAUAGACUUCUUCAUGUUCUGCAUGAUCAAAUACUACAGAUAUAGCAGCAAUCGUUGGCCCUGACAUUAUAGCAAACAUAUCACGAUCAAGGUAGACUUUAGAAUCAGACACGAUGAAUGGAGAUGAUUUCUUAGAUUUAUGCAUCAGAUCUAUCCAUCGGCUUGGAGUCAUUUCAGGAAAACCAUUUCCUUGCUCCGGAGUGGUACGAAUCUCAUUCUUACAGAUUGAGUGAUACAACUCAGAGAGAAAAUCUCUUGGAAGAUCAUUGCCUCCAUUUAUGUGCCUGCUAUUCCGAAUGAAAUCUUCUUCCGUCAUCUUCUUUUUCACUUGAACAUUAUGUUGAUCUGUAUUGAGCAAUAUAAUUGAAUAAGAUAGUAGAAGAGCAGCAUCCUUAUUCACAAGAAUCUGAGGUGACUGUUCAUAAUAUCUCUCAGAGAAUGCCUCAAGCACCCUUUGUAUCUUCUGUGAUUCCCCAGGGAGACGGAAAGUUUCCAAAAACAGCCGCAAAGCAGUAUCCAAAUUCAUGUCCUGAAAAUCAAAAGUCCAAGCAAAUUCAUGAAGAACCUGGACACAAAACUCAUCAUGAUUUCCAAGGAAGUCCCCAACCAAAUUUUUAUCUAAACCAGCAGUGUACCUGAAAAAGCAGGCUACACUUUUGGGAUCAAGUUUAUCAGGUAAGAGAUAGGUUCCUUGAAGGAACUCCAGUCCUUUCUUGGGAUCACGGUUAAAGUGAUCAGCUCCAAUCAUCAAACGUCUCUUAAUGUACUUUUUUCUUCUCACAAAUGGAACCCAUUCAAUAGGAUCACUGAAAUUUUCACACUUUACCAUCCAGAAAGGAGUAUAUUCCUCAAGGUUCACAGGAGUAUUUUCUAGGCCAGUUCCAUUACCUAUCCUCUCAGCCAUUCCCUGUAUAAUGGCAAUAAGACCAUCCAAAGCAAGGAUAUGCAUUGAAGACAAAGGACAAUUAACUGGAAAAGCACUCUUGGACAGGAGAUUCGCGAGAUCUUCAAAGACAUUACUGCAUGUUAUGUCACAAUCUAAGUUUGCAUACAUCUCCACCAUAAAUGUUUUCUGCCUGCAGAAAUCAACAAGAGCCUCCAUGGCAACCUCCUGCUGCUGGUAUGAAGCCCCAUACCUGCUUUGAGCAAGCCUCAAAAUCACACAUGAAAAGAAAGCCUCAAGCUGCAACUUCAGUUCUGUGCGCAGAUGGUGGUAAAGAUUGAGAACAAUGCUACAAACCAUUGAAAGGAUUAGCGAGCUUGUUGACAAACCAAAUUGCAUAAGGUUUCGAAAUAAUUCAUCUUGGAUUAAACUCAAUAGCCUAGGGUGAUGGCGGAAGGAUGGACCACCCAACUCUAUUGCUGAAUUUAUCAAUCUCAAGGCAAAGAGAGGAACAUCUUCAUCAAAAGCCAUGGUAUUUGACCUAGCUCCUAACUCCAUAUGCUCAACUAGAUUUAACAAUGAACAGAGGAAUCGGAAAAUUUCCACCAUGCAGGGAACCCCAUAAGGUUCGUUCAUAAGAUGAAAGUCAAAUGGAACCGUAUCCUUCACACUACCAUCCUCAAGUAAAUUUUCCUCCAUUCCAGUUACCAUCAGACCUGAUGAAGGUUUAGAGUCCAAAUUAGUGGAUGGCGAUUGACCAUCAAAUUCAUGACCCAAGUUGCCAUUCUCCAAAAGUCUGCUUCCAAGCGCAUAGUCAUCAUUAGCCCCCGUGCCAGCCUGAACAAGAGAACAGGUUUCAUACAUUAAUUAAACAAUUUUGGGUUAAUUUUUGCCAAAGAGAAACUUAACAAUUUCAACGUCAAAAUAUAUGAUGUGAGAAACCAAUAUUUUAAGAGCCUAAAAUCAGGCUUUUUAUCUAAAAUAAGUGAGUAGUGAGUAGUAAGCCUCAUUCUAAAUUUAAGAAACUUUAACAAAAACGUAAAAAUUCCCCUUGUAUUGUGGACAAAAAUUAUUAUUUUUAUGUAAUUUUUUUUUAAAAAAGAAAGAACAAAAAGAUGCAUCCAUCAACUUUCACUUUCUUGAAGAAAUAUUCUAAAGCUCAUUCUCAAUAUCAUCAACAACGUGACUAAUAGGAGUACCUUACUAUUUGAACUUUAUCACUUCUUAUACUUUAUUUAUUUUUAUUUAUUUAUUUAUUUAUUUUUGUUGUUGUUGUUGUUUUGGAUAAGAAAUCAUUUCAUUGAUGGAAUGAAAUACCCAAAAAUAUCCAAGAAUACAAAAGGAACCCAAUCAAAGGGUAUACAAAAGGGACCUGAUCACUUUAUUAAUUUAUAUAAUUUAGAAGACCCAAAAUUUCAAAGAAAUUAAGCAAAACAGCUUUUUGAGAUUUUGACUCCACUCAGCCUUGCCAAAAAUGUAAGAGUAAGUGCAUAGCAGCUUCUUUAGGAGACCCAAAAUAUCAAAGAAGCUGUUAUAUGCUUACUUUUUUUGCAAAGCUGAGUGGAGGCGAUGAUCCAACUCAUAGGAAUGGGCAGACAUCUCUCUCCAUCUAAAAAACACUUCUUCUAAUGACAUUAAAUCAGAAUUGUUCACAGAACAUGGGCUUAACAAAGAUCAAAAGACAGUAAGUACAUUCUUUACUAAAUUUCCUUACUUAUGACCUCAGUAAUUGACAUGGAAUCAAGAUGAACUACUUAACGGUUAACACUGAAGAUCCAACAAUGUAAAUCUAUAUUUAUUACCCAUCAAAACUAAAACCAAACUAAGAAACUUGUAAAAUAUGACCAUGGUGCAACAGGUAUCUCAUUCAUAUAAUAAAAAACACAAUCUUGAUAGAUCCCAUUAGGGAAAGAUGAAAAAUAUCCGAUCACUUUAGUGUUCAAGGGAGAUUAAAUUUAAAAUGAAAAAGAUAAAACCUAUAUAUUUCAGACUCAGAGAAAUAUCGUAGGGUAACUACGACUGAAAAGAAAAUACGUAUCAUAAGGUAAGGUAAAACUACCAUACACAAAAUGAUAAAUUUCUUUUUCAUUUUAGCUUCAUUACUCAUCUAACUAUCCUACGGUUUAAAAUGUAGUUAUCGAGAAAUGAAGAGAAUAAAAUGGUUUUAAACAAAAUGCAGAGAAUAAAUCAGUACCUCCUGCUUGCUGGAAGUGUUUCCAUUGACUAGUGCAUGCUCUGUGGUAUUGAUUUCUGAAAGAUGCGAAAAGAUACACCUAACAAGCUCAUGAACUGUGUGGCGAGCUAUUCGUUGCAACAGCUCACCCUUGGUGGCCGCCUGAUGCACUAUGCGAAAACAAGUAUUAACAAUGGUGCAGACAUGCUGAUUGCUCAACAUAAUGGAUACCUUACUCUUCAUACAAGCAAGAAGAACCUGAAGUAUUUUCGUCAGGACCAUUUCUUCUGAUGCAGGAUCCGUUAACUCAAAUCUACAACAGGUAACAGCAUCAACUAUCAAGUGAACAGACUCUCCAGCGUUAAUAGUAUUUUGAUCAAUCAUGUCAAGAGUUAAAAUCUUGUACACAGAAGAUAAAGCAACCCCAGUAAUAGGUGCCCCAGUUUCAUCUGAUCGAAUUACAUCUAAAAAUGGUUGAAGAUACACAGCAGGGUUGAUUGUAUGCCACGGAUGUUGCCAUGAAUAUAUCUGUUUUCUUAAUGACUUCAGUGAUUGAAUUAAAGAGUGCUCCAAUUGAUCAUCACCUGACAUAUAUCGACCUCCCCAUCUUACAUUUCUUCUCAUAACGGCCAAUACAGCACCAAUUUCUGAAUUGAUCAUGCAAGCCAAAGCAGUUUUAUUCAUAUAUGUGAAUGUGACAUCACACUCCUCUUGUUCUUCCUCAAUUGCAUUGAUUCCAGUAUGCAGCUUGGGGCGCCCCAUCUUUGGAUGUAUUCCCUUCACAGUACUAAAGUUUAUCAAGUAGACAAGUACUGUGAGAAGAUUGAGCAGAAACCUAGCUAAAGUGCACAAUCACUGCUUACAUGGAGAAGAAAAACAAAUUUAUUGAAUGAGCUCAAGGAUGAACAGUUGGCAUGAGAACAACUGAAAUUUUCCCAAAGAGAAAAGAUGCACUAUCAUAGUUCCAAAUAGAAAACUCCCAUAAUCAAUUUUAACAAACCAAUGAAAUGUCAGACAACCCUCAAAGCUAAAUUAUACGUUCCACUAACCAAAUGAAUAAUGGUAACUUCAAACCAAAUGAAAGAGAAAAAAAGUCAAUCCUACUCCGAUCACUCCUGGCACAUAGAUACACAAGGAAAUGCGUGAAUACAAAUGGAAAAACAGAAGGAAAUGGAGGACGAAGAUCUAGAAAGCAAUGAAUUACGUGUGAUUGGUAGAGAAGCAAAGGCGGUCAACAUAGAGACAAGAACAAAACAACAAGAGAUCUAGGGAGAGAUUAAAGAGGUUGAUAUGUGGGAUCUGCCAUCCAUGGACCUUGAUGCAAAUGAAAAGGAGAAAUGGGUAGUAAACAAGAAAUGCUGUAUAAAGCAGGAAUUAUGAAAGUGAAGAUGGAUCCAGGGGAAAUGAGAAAUACCUAGAUCAGAAACAAUUCCAAAAGGAAAUGAUGGAGAGGCGGCGUCGGAAUGGGCAGAGCCGGAACGCCGGCGGGUAAAGGGCGGGUAAAGGGCGGGAGUGAGCCGUGAGGGAGGCGACGGCCGGUGAGGAAACAUCGUUUGUUGAUGUUUUGUACGACGGUGGAAAUUAGAAUUACCUACAUCACAAACAUCGUUUCUUUUUUGUACAAUAGUGGAAAGUGAUAUUGCUCAAUAAUAUUAAAUUUUCAUUUUCAUCUACGUUCUUACGUUCUUAAAAAACUACCAAAUAAUUGAGUCCAUGAGAUAAUGGCAUUCUCAUUAUCAAAUUAAUUCUCCUAUGUCAUAAAACAAAAUUGUUUUUAAAAUAGAGUAAAGUUUUACUUAUAACAUUCAUACAUUUAUAGAUGUUUGUAGUUGAAAGUAAAUUUGGGUACGUGUUUAAAUAAUUUUAACAAACCUACUUAAUAUUUCUAUACCUUAAUUGUCAAUUUCCUUUUUGUAAUUGUUUAAAUACAUUUUUAUUUUAGUAAUUACAAAGUGGGCCGUAUUCAUAUGGAGUCACCGAAACAAAAUAUCUAAUCUUAUGUGUAUUAACUUUAGAUUAUUUCUUGAGUAUAGUCUAUUUGUAUCUCAACUACAUAUCGUUCAAUAUUAUAAAAAUCAAUAUUAUAAAAAUGACAUUAAACUUAAUAAUAAUGGAUAUUAUAGUAUUGCUAGUAAUAAUUAUAUAUUGUAUUUAAUAACACUGAUUACAAAGCUUUAGAACACAAAUUAUAACUGUGACAAUUGUUUGAUGUGGCAAAAAAAAUCAUUCCAAUAUGAUUACGAGGUUCAUCCAAACUUGAGCUAAAUAGAACAUUUUAGAAAAAAUAUAAAUUCAAUUCCCAAACUUCGAUGUUUGUAUCUGAUUUAAAUCUCAAAUUAAUAAUUGUUGUAUCAAUUUAAACUAUUUUCGUAAGCUUGUCAACUUAAACCAUGAAUAUUCAUGAUAAUUGUAUGAAUUUAAACUCUUUAUUAUAUUUUAUUUAAAUAAAUUUAAAAAAGUUUGAGGUUUAUACAGAUACAUUUGUGAAAAAAUAUGGUUAAAACUGAUACACAAUUAUUAGUUUAUGCUUUAAAUUGAUGUAACAACGUCCAAAGUCAAAGAUUUAAACUAAUAAAAUUAUAGUAUAGGGUUUAAAUUGAUACAAUCCUCAAAGUUAAUUCACGAAAUAAAUUGAUAUUAGUCGAUGAUUUUAAAAUCAAAUAAACUAAAUAGAAGGCAGAGCACAAACUAUUAGAUUAAACUAUAGAGAUCAAAUUAUUGUGCUCAAUCAAAAUACUAUCGUGUGUAGCCCAAACUUAGCUUUGUGAUAAUUGUAUAUGCACUCCUUUCUUCUCGUGAGUUCGAUCUCCACAUACUUUUAAAAAUGAGCACAAUAUAGAACGAAUUGGUUGGAGAAUAGAAAAUUAUGUCCUAUUAUUCAAUUUAAAAGUGCGACAACCAGCCAAAAUGAUCAACCAUUGUUCACCUUAAGGAAUUAAAUCCAAGAAAGGAAAUAAAUCCCCAUUUGAAAAAAAUUAAAUUACACUUCAAUCAAGAAAAGUGUUAGAUGAAAUAUUACAAGCAGAUAUUUCCAGAUAAAGAAAAUAUUCUACACAAAAAUAAUUUGUUGCAUGAAACUGAUGUUAAGCCUAUAUUUGAGACAACCGUAGAAAUCAAUACCUCAAAUCUUUGACACUAAAAACUGUUCCAGUGCAUCACUUUUUUAAAAUACUAUUUAAAAAUGUUGAGCAGAAUUUAAAUUUCGUCCAAUACUAUUUCUAAUUGAAUGGGAAUGGUGCACAACUUAUUAAAACAUUGUUUUAUAACCAUCUGAUUUUUAAAAAUUAAACUUAUGAACAUCAUUUACAGUUCCAAAUUUCAUCAUUUGUAAAUUUCAUCAUUUGUAAGAAAUGUAAAAGAAAAAGAGUUGAUUUUAAAAAAUCGAAAAACCAAAAAUAAACAGUCACUUAACCAAGUUUAUACUGCCAGUGAUAAAAAAUUCUAAGCCUUUUAAGUUGUGUGAGAUUGGAUGGGAAGAAAAUGAACAAUGAAAACAAAGUUAGAUAUCCAUGAUCUAAGGAAUCGUCUCUGUUGUUCUGAAGAAAAGAGAAAAAGAAGAAAAGGGUAGAAUUAAAUAAUUUAACUAAGAAAAUAGUGAUAAAGCUGAUUUUAUGUUUAACUUUGGUUGGAAAAAAUGAAUCAACUGAAUAUAUAUAAAAAGCAAAAAGAGAGAAAAGGAAGAGAGUGCUUGAAAAGAAAAGAACAAACAUAUCAACUAUUUUACUCCACAUCUUCAAAUCACAAAUUCAACUAUUCAUUAUUACUUUUCUGAGUUUUUCAGUUUUAAUUUCUAAGUUAGAUUAAAAUUCAACAACUCCUUUACUCAACUGAAAAAAGUUGACUAUUUCUCUACAAAAGAUAAUGAGAAACAUAAUAUGAAGUUUAAAGUUGAGAGAGAGAGAGAGAGAAGAGAAAAGAAAAGAAAAGAAAAGAAAAGGAAAACCUUGCAUUGAUAUAAAUCACCAUGUGAUCCCAAAACAUAUAUAUCUUAGUAUUCAUCAUAUAUUAAAAACAUUAUCAAUUUUUGGCACUCCCAAUAUUUCCAAACUCUUGGGAGCAUAUAUACAUACAUAUUCCAAAGGAAGGAAGAAAGAUAACAAACCCAAUUAAAUUUGAAAAAAAAGAAGAAGAAAUAAAUGGAAAAAAACUAAGUAUUAUUACGCUCACGAUCAUAUCAUAGUUAUUAUAUACUUCGUCUUCAAAGUACGUCUCUCUUUCACCUUCUUUUGUCAAACAACCACAGAGUUAGGUCUCUGAGCUUCAGACUCAGCUCGGCCACCUUCAGGCAGCAGAGGGUGCGGUGACGAAGUGAACAGGUCCAGCUUCGGAGAGAGCAGAGAUGAAGAGGUGCACGUUGUCCGCCGUGGAGGCUGUCGAAGGCGGCUUGUAGUCCAAAGAAGGAUCACUGUAGACAUCCCACCAUUUUUUGACGAGCAUUUUUAUGUCUUCUCUCUGCAUGUUCUCUUCUUUUCCUGUGUACCUCCAUGGCUUCGAUCCCUAAUUUUCCAUCAACAACAUUUACUUUAAAUUUGUAGAUUUGCAUUUAUUUAUUUACUAAUAAUGCAAAUAUUAAAUGACAAAUAAUUAAGCAACAAGUUACGUUGUUUCGAACUUUUUUUUCCAUCAAAGAUAUUAUUCUUAUUUUUACAUUUUUGGAUAUUAAUUAAGGUAACCAAAAUUCUUUUUCUUUUUUUUCCUUUUUAAGAAAACACAUUUUUUAAGUAUAGAAAUUCAAAAAGAUAACUACCAUAAUUACUUAAACUUCAAAGUUACAAAUUUUUUUUCAAAUACCUUCAGGAAUGGAAUAAAUAAUAAAUUCUCAAUAGUAUAGCCAUUCUAAUUUCAAACUAGAAUUUUAACAAAAAAAAAAAUGUAUUGUAGAUAGCAAAAGACUCCAACUUAUUGUAAAUUACAAGUAAACUACUAUAGACAUGAAUAGAUAUUGUUAUUUUUUAUUUAAAGAUAAUUGACUAUAUUUUUUGUAAAUAAUAUUUACUCUGUUUGUCAUUUAGAAAGUUACAAUUAAAUUAAAAAAGUAAAUAAGUCAGUUCAAAGGAAUUACCGCGGCACAAUAAUGAACCACUUUGACGCGAUUAAGAUCGACAUUCUCUGGGUGACGCCAAAGCAUGGCUAGUACCAAGUUGAACUCCGAGGAGAUGGGCUUGUAGACAUCCCUGAAGUACAUAUUCAAAAAAUCCUAAAAAAACAACAAACAAAAAGCAGAGUGUUAAAAUAUUAAUUAACACUAAAACCAAAAGCUUAAAUUAAUUAUAGAAGGAUGAACAAGCAAAACUACCUGCUCGGCAAAUGGAGUAGGAGGAGUGACUUCAAGAGUGUUCAAUAGAUCAUGAUAUGUAUGAACAUUCGGCUCGAAAACAAACAUGCCGGCAUUGAAGUAGAGUGGGGGAGGGGGGAGACCGAGAUCAUCGUCGGGCCACUGAACCUUGUCGGGGCAUUGCUGACAGUAACCAAUGCGAUACUGAGGAGUGUGGCUCCAUGUCUUCUCACAAAAGCAGUCCAUAACCGCGUAGAAAUAGCCAUUUGGUAAUUCCAAUAACUCGUCUAUGUUCUCGUAAACUUGAAUGUCUCCAUCUAAAUACACCAUUUUAUUGUAUUCCACGAACUGUUUUGGAUUAAAACGACAGCGUUUAGUUUAAGACAAAACGACAAACUAUAUAAUAUACAUGAUGCAAAAACAAGUAAAGGAUAUUAAGUGCUUUUGAUUCCUAGGGAAACACUUUUUCAAACUUCGUUUCUUUGGCUUUAUAAUUAUUUGAAGAAUCUUCUAACUUUUAAGAGCUUGUGUAAUUAAAAUAAUCUUUAUUUAAAAUAAAACUUAAAUCAAGAGACAGAUUGACCUGACUUUGACAUCCAAAUCCAAAUGUUAAUCAAGAGUGCUCGUGAGUGAAUCUAAACACUCAAACAUACAAGAAAAACUGCUUAAUUAUAAGAAAAUAUUGUGAUAAAUUUUGAGUGGUUCAUAAAUCCCUCCACCUUUAUUCUAAAGAGUAAUUUCACCAUAUAAAAAUUUGGAGCUUUACAAAUAUAUGAAUUCAUAAAUCUAAAUAUACCAAAAUUUAGAUCAACCUGUAAGAGUAAAUUAAAUAGACUAUAUCAUUGAAGUUUAUCACCAUUUUUUAACAUUUAGAAUUCUUGAAAAUAAUAUUACUAAACUCUUAAUAUCCUAAAUUUCCUUUUGUCACAGAUGAACUUUUAAAAUUUUCACAUAUUGCACAGAAAAAUUAAGAUUUUGACACAUCCCCGUACGAUCAAGCAUGCACUAAAAUUAAAUGAAACAAAAUUAAAAUUCUAAUCUUAUUAAAAAUUAAUUAAAUCUUGUAAAUUUAAGAUUAUAAACAUGACUAUUAUUUUGGGUAAAAACAAGAAGAUAAAAAAAAAAGAUGAAACGCAUACAAAAAGAGAAAUAUAAAAAAGAAAAGGAAACAAACCUCCCAAAUACGAAGCUUAGAAUAAUUGAUAACAUAAUAAGCCAUAGCGAACCGGGUCUGGUUCUCAGGCGGGUAAACCGGUUCAAUCUCCUUAACAAUACAUCCCUGAGACUCCAGAACCCGCCUGUGCUCCUCAGGGACGUCUGGCAACACGGCCACGACCAAGGGGUACGCGGAUUUCACCUUUCGGAGGCCCUUGGCCAGUCCGACGACGCCCUUCACAUAGUCGCCGUCGCCGGCCAAGAACGUCACGUACGCUCGCUGUGGGAGGUGCCGUCCACCGGGAGGCUUAAUCACCGGAGCUGCUGCAGUGUGGACGAGUUCGGGCGCCAUUUUGGAAAGACUAAGAGAAGGAAAUGCUGGAGGAAGAGAGAGAGUAGAAAGAGGAAGAGCGAUGAUUGGGCGUUUUGGCGGUGGUGGAAAGCUGUGGUUGGGGGGACGUUUAAAUAAGAGUCCGAUGAAGGGAGAUUUAAAGGGGGGAAUUGAGGAGGAAGAUGGGUUGGAUGAGUUACACGUGGAAUGAAGAUUAAUCGAACGGUAUAGAGGAGGAGAUAAGGAAGAUUCGGGAAGAGGCCAGUGGGAGCAAUGGCGAAGAAGACACUAGAAAUUAGAGUGUAGAAUCUGGAGUUUGGGUAAAUUAGAUUUAAAGUUUUCAUUAGCAUGGGGAUGGUAGAUUUGCUGUCCAAUUCUCUACCGUUCAUUCAAAAAAAAAUUACAUCGAUUAAUUGCUUGUGUUGAUACUAAUCUAAUUAUGAAAACAGGAAAAUUUAGUAUUGUAUGGGAGUAGAAGUAACAAUUUAGGUAGUUCUUUGGUAUCCAUCUAAUUUCUUUUUUUAGUUUUUAAAAAUUGCGAUUACUUUUCCUCCAUUUUUAAAAAUAAUUUGCAUAAAUAAAAAACCUGUUAAAUUUCGAAAACAAUAUUUUAUAAUUGUUUUUGUUAGUUUUAAAAAUUUAGUUUGGUUUUUAAAAUAUUGGUAAAAUACACACACGAAAAAAUAAAUUAAGGAGAAGGAAAUGUGGUUUAUAGCCUUUAAUUUUUAAAACUAAAAAUCAAACAAGACCUUAGUUUAUUUAUAAUAAUUUAGAAUUUUAUUUUAGGUGAAAAAUCUCAUUAAUUAACUGUCAAUUUUAAUUAUGUAAUAUUUAUAAUUUGUAAACAAAUUUGUAUGGAAUUUGAUUAGAUCUUAAUUAAAAAUAUAUUACACGGUAGCUUAUGACAUAAUUUUGACUAAUCCUUACAAAAUGUAAAGCAAAAUGACACAAUUUAUUCUCAAUAAAGUUUAAAGAUCAAAUUUUAUUAUAAAUUUAGUGUAAAUUAAAUUGUUACAAAUUAAUUAACUUCUAACAACUUACAUAAAUAACCCUAGGAAUAAUCAAACUGACUUUUUCUUACUUAAAAUAUUCUAGUGCUUAAAAAGCUUUUUAUUUUAUUUUUAUUUUAUGCCAAGUACUUAAAAUUUAAAAUGACAUUUUGGACCUUCAAUUUUUUUAUAAAAAAAUAUUUAUUGUGGUCUAAAUUUUAAUAUAAACUUUGGAACAUUUUAACAUUAUAAUAAUGAAAUUUAAUAUUAUCUAAUUUUAUUUCAAACAAAUAUUACUUAAUGCAAUAAGUCCAAUUUAUUCAAACACGUAAUCUAGAUCAACUACAUUAAUUGUACUAUUCUUUUAAUUGUAAUUGAAUAUAUAGAUUUAAUAGCAUCGACUAGUCAAAGUACAAUUAGCCCAGGAAAAAAUGUGGUGUACUUUCAUUGAAGUUAUAAACUCAAUCUCUCAUAUACAAUGAUUGUAAAAACAACAUUGAACACAUUACACAUUCAGGUAAUCAAAUCAUAAUAAAUUUUAAAGUAUCCAUAUGUUUUUUUAAUAUUUUAAAGAAAAAGAAAGUAAAAUAAUUGAAUGUCUAAAGAUAAAAAGAGAGCUUAAGAAAAGGUCAAGUUUGGGAUUUUGUGACGAAAUUGGCAAACGUUUAGAAAUGAAUUUCUUAAAGGGAAACAAAGAGAAGUUAUUAAUUGAUGGAUUUUAUAUUUAAAAGUAAGAAAUAGAAUACCAAAUUAAAAGUAAAAGUGGUCUUCAAACAAGCGCUUUAACUAAAAUGAUUCCUAAAUCAUAUAACAAUACCAAAUUAAAAUUACUUUUUUUUUCUUUUAGAAUAAUUUAAAACUACUUUAUUACCACUUGGUGGUUGAUUGAUUUGUCAAGAUUGUGCUUGGAAAUUACCUUUUCCAAUAGAAAUAUUACCUAACAUACAAAUUUUAAAGAUAAUGAUAAUGAUAGAUAUGUCAAUAAUUUAGGAUUUUUAAUUUGAAAAGGAAAACAAAACUUUGAGGUUUAAAUAUGUGUUGACUAGUUGGGCUAUCCUAAGUUGACAUUUAUUUUUUAGUUCUUAAAAUUUCCAAAAUGAACUGUCUUUUAUUUUAUUUAUUUCAAUUUAUUUACUUUCAAAGUCUCGAUUGAAUUGAAUUUCAAGAUUAAAUAAUUAGUAAAAAAAAAAAGAGGAGUCUAAAUUAAAGGAUUGGAAGAGGAGAAGAGGGGAGAUAAAAUUUAACAUAACUUAACUUAAAAAUAAAAAUAAAUAUUACGUAAAAAUGAUAUACAACAACCUAACAAUAGAACUCAACUAAUUUGUUUACGCCCUAAAUGACGAGGGAGAUUCAAAUAAAAGAAACCAUGAGAGAUGAAAAACACAAACAAUAAUAAAAAGAAAAAUAAAAGUAAAACGAUGAAAUUUAUAGAGAAAAAUUUGAAAUCAAAAUUUCUCUUUUGUUUUACAUUUUAUUUAUGUUUGUUAAUGCAAAAAAAUAUAAUGAGUUAAUUGUUGUUGUUCAUUACCAAAAAGAAAGGAAAAAAUUCUACAAAAACAAAAGAAAAAUACAGUCCAUAUUUUAUUCAAGAUAACUUUUAGAAUAAUUGUCCAUAGGUAUGCUUAUAAGAUGAAAAGAAGUAAAAUAGAUUUUUUUAAUAGUAAAUUUUAGUUUUAAAUUAGAAAAAGAUUAAUUAUAAUGUUUGAUAAUGUAAUAAUAAAUCAACUGAAAAGAAGUAAAAUAAUUUUUUUAGUAAUUUUAAAAUAAUGGUUGGUGGUUGUGCCUUUUUAAAAAUCAGUUAAGAAAAGAAGUAAAAUACUUUUUUAGUAGAUUUUAAUUUUAAAUGAUAAAAAACUAGUUCCAUUGUUUGAUAAACUAAUAAUAAAGGGGUGUAAUUUGGUUAUAUUGAACAAGAUAGACUUAUUAUUCCAAUUAUUUUCAUAUUGAUAAUUAAUGUAUAAUUUAUUGUAAUCUUAUAGGAUUUGAAUCUCGUUAUAUGUGUUUACUAAAAAUUAUUUUAUAAAAUUUUCAAAAUAUAAUUAUUAUCAAAUAAAUUAAAUAUAUUAAACUUAAAAAUAGAUUAAUAGAUGAAUUAUUGACUUAAAGUCAACUGGCAGCUAUGUAAUUAAAAUUAAAAUUUAGAAAGUGAUUAUAAUAUAUUUAAAAAUAAUUAGUUUUACCAAACUAAGUAGGUUAUGAUUUUCUUGUUUAUCACAUUUUAGAAUUGCAAUUCCAAACAUGGUUUUAGUUUAGGUUAAUUUAUAACUUAAAUAUAAAGUGAGCUAGAAUAAUAAACUCCUCCAACUCCAACUAUAGCCAGUUGAUAUGUCUUGCUCUCUAGUAAUAUUUGAAAUGUAAUUAGAUUAUAUGAUAUUAAAUUUGUCACAAGUGAAAGAAGUGUUGGAUGAUAUAAUGUUAGCUAAAUAUACUUUUAUCUUGAGCUUUUAGGUCAAUUGGUGAUGUGAUAUAAGAUCAUAAUACAUUUCAUUAUUUUUUGUAUUGUUUACUUGUGUUUGCAUUUCUAUUUAUAUUUGGAGUUCUGAAACGAAUGAAAAAUAAAAAAUAAACUGAUAGAUAAGAAUUACAUUUUCAAAUUAUGUCGUAAAUUGUUAUUGUUUGUGUCACAAUUACUAUUAUUGUUAUUGGUCCACGUGAAAAUUAUGAAUUUUCUUAGUAAAAAUUAAAAUUUAGGUAGCACAAAAAAAAGGUUAAAAUUUAGGGACAGUGUUUUGUUGUAGGAUGGGAUUUGAAUAUUUGAUUGAACAGGAGGAAGGUAGCCACGUGGCGAGUAUAUUUAGUGGUUCAGGUUAGCCACGUCAUGGAAGUGUCAGUUAUAACGUUAAGAACACGUGGCAGAUGUAGGGGGUAUGGCCCAUCAUUCUUCCUCCAUCUGUCCCAAGGUUUCCUUAUGGGAAAAUUACUGUUUUGGACGUGUCUUCAACUUUCUCACAACUCCCUAAAUCUUAAGAUAUUUGUAUUACUAUUAUUGUUAUUCUUUUAUUUUCUAUUAAUUUAAAUCUCAUUUUUGUCCAGCAUUAACAAAACUUUAAACUUUGUCCAUAUUGUUUUUCUCACUACUUUAUUCCAAUGGACAAUUAAUUCCAUUCCAAAUUAAAAUAUGUGUAUACAAAUGUCCUUUUUUGUUUUUUUCAAGUUGGGACACUAAAUUAAUUAGACACCAGAUGGAAAAGAAAAAAAAAGGAGAGACUUAAAACCAAAUUGAUCUACUAUUUAGAUAAGUGAGAAUAUUUUUGGAAAAAAAAUAUGUUUAAGGGUAUCUAUCAAACUUUUCAAUAGCUUAGAGAUACUUUUGAAACUAAACUUUAAUGGUUUCCAUCCAAAACUAAUUAUAGCAGUACUUUUUAAAAAUAUUUUUUCUUAAAGUUUACGACACUUUUUAUACUUUUGAAAGUUUAGAGAUAUUUUUUUACAUAAAGUUCAAAGUUAAUGGGCAUAUUUUUUUUAAAAAAAAAACUAGGGUGUUCAAAUCAUUUAACAUAAAACAAACCAUAAAACUCGUUUGCUUGUUGGACUUGAGUUUGGGUCCAUUUGCUUGUUGGGCUUGAGCCUAUUUACUUGUUGGACUUGGGCCUAAACUUAUUUACUUAUUGAACUUGAAUUGGGUUGGAUUGAGUAAACUUAACAUAUAACUGUAAAAAUGGCAAAAUAAUGUAGUACAAUUUGAAAAAUAGCAAAUUUUAAAAAUAAUUUGAUUUUUAGCAAAAUCGCAUAACGUAGAUUUUUUUUUGCAAAUUUUCAAUCGGUUUUACCCUUUGAUAGUUUGCAACUCAUUUUUUUCAAUUAUAGUAUAUAUGUGCAGCGUAAAGUAAUAGAAUAUAAUACAUACAGUGUAUUUGCAUAUCAUUCAAUUUUAUAAUAAUAUUAAAUAGAUAUUUAUGUUUCAAAUUGAUCUCAUUUAACGAAUAUAGGCUAGAUUCAUGUCUUCAAUUUAUACAGAUUAUCGAAUUUGUACACUUAACAAAUUAUUUUUAAUAAUAUAUAUUUAUUUCACACUAUUUAAUUCACACCAUAAAAUCAUUGAUAAUAUUAUUCCUUCAAGAUACGUUUCAUAACUUUUGCUUAAUUAGGCCAAAUAUUAUAUUUGCAAACUACAAUCAGUUUGGAAAAAUAUUAACUAUGAUAUUUUAAGGAUUGGCAAGAUUUCCUCAAUAUCCUCUAAAUAUAUGCCUAUAAUUCAUAAUAAUUUUUUGGAUUUUUAGUAUUUCAAUCAAAAUUAUUAACAUUUAUUUAUUUAAUUCAUAAAAAAAUGUUUAAUAAAGAUUCUCCUAAAAAAUUGCUAAAAUAUUUUCAAUCGUUCCUUACUUAUUAGAUUUCAUAAUAUUUUCAAUUACUUAUUAGAUUUCAUAAUAUUUUGAAUUCAAUCAUCAUGAAAUCUAAUCCCUAAAACAAUCACAAUCACUUACUCUAUAUUUUUUUAUGAUUUAUAUUUCAAAUUAUUUUAAAAAGAUUAUUAGAGAAGAAAUAGUACGUAUGGUUAAUAUAAAAAAUGGUUAUGAGAAUUUCAACCAUUCCUCAGCCAUUAUAUUUCCAAUCGUGCUAAUUAUGAUUAUACAUUUAUUUUGGUUGAUUUUUAUUAAAAAAAAUUUAAUUUAUUGUGCCUCUUGUAUCGAAUAAUUAUUUUUUCACCUUUUGUUUUUUAAUUACUUUAAUAUUUAUAUUUAUUUUAAUUAGACAUUUUAUUUUGUUUGUGGCGUUUUAUUUCCAAUCAUCCUUGUUGUGCAUAUCUGAAUCAAGGAGUAUAAUAUGUGUUUAUACCUUUUUAUGUAGGAUAAUAUAUGUUUUACAGAUACAGUGCAUUUGCAUGAUACAAAAUAAUGAGACCAAAUACCAUACGGAUACAAUGUAUUUGCAAACUCCAACCAGUUUUGAAAAAUAUGAAUUAUUUUAUGAUAUUUUUGGGAUCGGCAAGAUUUUCCGAAUAUUUCCUAAAUAUAUGCGUAUAAUUCAUAACCAAUUUUUAGAUUUUUAAUAUUUAAAUCAAAUUAGUUAACAUUUAUUUAUUUAAUUCAUAAAAGUUAUGUUUAAUAAAUAUUUUUCCUAAAAGAUUGGGAAAUUUUCAACCAUUUCUCAAUCUAAUCCCUCAAAUAAUAGCAAUCAUCGAUUUGAAUUUGUUAUAUUUUAAACAAUUUAUUAUAUACAAUAUUUUCAAUGUGUUAUAUUUUAAACCAUUUACUAAAUUAGACAUAAGAUAUAUUUUUAAUAACAAAUUUGGAUUUUAAUAUAUAUUUUUAAUAACAAUUUGAAUUUAAAAUUUAUAAUUUAAUUAUGCUUCAAGGGCAUUUUUGUAAUGAUUUGAAUCUUCAUAUUUUAGGUUUUAUGAGAGAAAAUAAAAGAAGGUGAUUGAGAGAGGAGACAGCCGACCAGAGACAAAUACAAUGAGAGAGAAAUUUGUUCUUGCAAAAAAGAGAGGAGAAGAGCUCAAAUGAAUUUUGAAUGUAUGAAAAACUUGAAUAACUCACCGAUGUAUACAAGUUUUGAAUUCUAUGGUAUAAUUUCAUGAUUUUAUCUUUAUUAUAAUAUCAAUAAUGCUCCCCUUUUGAAUUAUUUGAUAAGUUUGGUUUGAAAUGGUUUUCGAACUUUCUUUAAAGUUUCGAAUGAAAGAAGAAAGUAAAUUUCUGGUCGUUCCCUAAUAAAAGUUGGAACGCUGAUAGAGUCACCCCUGCAAACAAUUACAAAAGGAAAAGAAGAAGAAGCUUUUACCUCUCGCUUCUGAAAAAAUAAAAUAAAAAAGGACAAAAGAAAAAAGACAAUAAAAAGUAAAAAAAGACAAAAGAAAACCAAAAAGAGGAAGAGGGAAUAGAGGUUUUUCAUACGUUUAUUUUGCUGAUGAGUAAUAAAUGAUCAAGGUUUGAUGUAUUUAUAAGGCUAUUUAAUCCUAUUCCUAAAAUAGUUAGGAAUGAUUUUUAAUUUUUUUUAAUAAUAAAAAAAAUAAUCUAGUUAUUUUAUCUUAUUUUAAUUAUAUUCAAUAUUUAAAAUAGAAAAGAUAAUUAAAUUAUCUUAUCUUAUUUUAAAUUACUUUAUUUUGGGAUAAAUCUCCAAUUUAAUUUAUUAAGAUAACUAAAAUAUUUAAAUAUUUCAACAUUAAAAUAAAAAUAUAUCUUAUUUCUAAUUGCAAAAUUAAAAUUUAGGUUGAAAAUGGAAGUCAAAUUAAAUUGCCCAUAACCUCCUUUUUAUCUCAAAUUUAAAUUGGAGUCAUAAAUCCAACUUUAUUAUCUCAAGAUUGAGGAUCUCUUUUUUACUUUUAAUCUCUCAAGACAAAUUAGAGUACGAUACUCUUUCUUAUUUUAAAUUAAAGUUUUGAUUAUGUUCCAAAAUUUUAUUAUUUUUAAAAAAAACCAAUUAAAUUUAAAAUUUUAUCCUCAAAUCAAAUUGAAUUGCCGUAAAAUCUUGAACUUUUCUCAAAUUAAUUAAGGUUGGGUCAUAUUCCAACCCUUAUUUAUUUUUCAAGAUUCAUUCACAGCAUAAAUCUCGAAAAUGAGAAAUAAUUUUUUUUAAACUAAUCAUAAAUUGUCACAUCAUUUACUAACUUAAUAAUGAAAAAUACAAAUGAUUAAAUAAUGAAAAGUACAAAUAAUUAAAUGUGAGACUAAUGAUAUGUGUGUGAAUUAACCAAUUAUGAUAAUAUCACAUGUUUUCAUCGUAACCGUUGGAUCAAAUUAAUUAUUUUGGUUUAAUUAAUAUUAUUAACUUAAGCUCAAUUCAAUUGAACCCAAAAUAAACUUAAUUGAACUUAAAUUCUAAAUAUGACCAAAAUUCAGGUGGAGGUUGAUUCUAACGCUAAACUCAAACUCAUUAAACCAUAACUUUAUAAAUAAAGGUGUUUUCAUUUAUCUCAAAUUUCUCCAACCCUAGUUUAGCAUUCAUUCUCAAAUUUCCCCAACUCAAGUUUAAUUUCACUCAUCAAAUUAUAUAUGGUGUUAUAAAUAAAAGUUGAAGAAGGUAAGGAGUCAAUUGAGGGUUUUAAUUUGAAUUAAUACUAACUUUAAAGUAAUUGACAAUUAAAUCUGUAGACUAAUGAUCUAUAUUUGCUUACUCUAUAUUUUCCUUCUACACAAAGGACAAGAAAGUUUUGUUCGAACCCAAGUGAGUAUACAGCAUCUAUGAUAGACAUGGCCGCACUUGAUUCUACAAACCUUCUUCUUCUCCCCUCCAUUCAGUUCUUCGCAACAAAUACAACAAUCUCCCAACUCUUCUCCCUCAAACAACCCAUCAUCUUUCUCGCUGAUCGUCAACCUCUCAAUCGCCUUCUCCUGCGCCCUUCUCCUCGCCGGAUCUUCUUCCAGAAUCACCGUUUCCUCCCCCAUAACACGGCGCCUAAUUAGAUGGAGGAUAUUGUACGGAAGUUCGUCGGAUGGAAGUGGAAGCCUCGAUGGGUUUCGGUUUUGGAGAGAUUGAUCGUGCCUGACGUUGUGGCGGCGGAGAGUGAAGCGUAUGGAGGAAGACAUUGUGGGAAUUAAGACGAAGAGAACUAAGAAGUUAUGGAUUUAAUUAGAUUUAUAAUGGAAGAAUGGUAAUCAAGUUCCGAUUAGGAAAUUGUUUAGUUUAUGGAAUUAUUAUUAUUUUGUUGGGUAUGUGUUUUUGUUCCUUUUCGCUUUCUUCUACUUUUAUCAGUUUCUUUAUUGAAACUACUUUUUUUAAUUAUUUUCCUUUUUUGAAAAGGAAGAUUAUUAUUAUUUCUAUAUAAAUAAAAAAAAUCAACUAAUGAAAUCCUUUUUUUUUUUUUUAAUAUUAUAGCAUUUUUAAUUGUAAAAAUAAAAUAUGGAAAGUUUUUUCCGUUGUCGAAUAUUUUCCUUUUUCUUUCCCCUUAAUUAUGAUAGAUAAUAUAUAAUUAAAAAAUAACUAAAUUUAAGGCUAUAUAUUUAAUGUUGUGUUUAUCAAAAAUAAAAAAGAAGAAGUAAUGUCGUGGCCUAUUUUUUCUCUUUUAAACAGAGUUAUCUAUUCAAGAUAUUGAUUAUAAAAUAUAAACUUUGUUGAUAAACAUAUAAUUAAAAGUGUUACUUUGCUUGCCUGAAUUUACUAAUUUGUUCCUAGAAAUCAAGCACGAUACUCGAGAUUCUAUACUUUAUGUUUUAUCUAUUUUUUAUAAUAAAUAAUUGAUCUUUGGAUAUUUGAUACUAGAUAUUUGGUGUUUAAUGCUCAAUAUUUGAUUAUCUACACUUUAUUUAUGUUAUAUGCUUUCAACUGGAUCUCAAUAAGAAAGAAAGAAAAAGAAAGUAGAAAUGUAGAAAGAAGACUAUAGAAUAAAUCCACAAAAAAUACAAGAGAAAAAAAAAAAAAUAAUUUUAUGAAUUAGUCAAAUUAUUAGUUUUUUACAGAGUUUAAACACCACUGACCAUUAAAUUUACAAAAAUAACACCAUCUCUCUUCCGUCAUUCAAAGAAAACCUCUUCUCCAACCUUCUCUCGCAUGGCGGUUUUCCGUAACCGUGUUCAAUUCACCAACGUAUUUUCGCCUAAUCCUCUCAAGAAUUCCCGCUAAGCCUACCUCUGCCGCUGCCGCCGCCGUCCGGUUCGAUUUCCGAUCUCAUUCGACGUCCCAAGUAGAACAGCGCUGUUGUGCAGAGUAUGGCGCAUAGUCGUCCCCACAGCAUCACAAUCGCCACAAUAACAACCAUAAUCACCCGAUCGAAAUUCUUGACCGGAUAAUACGUAGGCAACUUCGGGGUCGGUUUAUUACCGUCUGAAAACGCCGGGGAGGUGGUUGCGACGGCGGCAGGGAGAUGACCAGAGACUGGUUUUUUAAAAUAUUUCUGGCGGGUCAAUUGCUGAGAAGGAAGAGAUACGGAGUGCAACAACGCGGCUGUUUUUCUCGUCGGCGAGAGUUUCUUCGUCGUGAAAUUUGACUGAGUUGAAUGGGGCUUCUUCCGAGUUUGACUCGGCUUUAGUGACGAAUCCACAACGAUCUCACCUCCGACCUGUGGCGCUUUCGGCAUAAUGAACGACAGUGGAGGCGAUUUCUUGAACUCCGGCAAAAAAGAGAGCUCAUCAUGAGAUGGAUCGGCGACGUCGACCGGAACAGUUGCAGAGGAUUUCUUGAAUCGGAAAGUACGCGACGAAGUCCGGCGGAUGCGUGGGGCGAUCGAAGAAGCCUUUUUCGUAGGAAGUUUGGAGGAAGAUCGGAAGCAACUGAAGAGGAAAUGGAGUGGGGAUUUGGAGGGAGGUAUAUUUUCUGAAGAAUCCGCCAUGGAGGAGCAAAAAUGAAGCAGAGGAGAAUGAGAACGGCAUUUGGAGGAGGAAGAAGCGUUGAAGCGAGUUUUAAAUGGAAUUUGAGUGAAUAACCCAGAAUCCAAAAAAAUAAUAUUUUUAUUUUUUAAAUAAAUAAAUGAAAGACCCUUUACCCAAUUUAUUUUGUUAAGUAGUAACAAUUUUAAAAGUUGAUAAUUUUCAUUAUAAUACAUCUAUAAUUUUAAAAGUUGAUAAUGGGAGGGUUCUGAUCUAUAUAUAAUAUUUUGUUAAUUAUUUGUCACUGUUUUAUUCACAGUAUAAAAAAUCGUAAUAUGCGCUAUUUCUUAUUUAACGUUUUUGUACCAAUUUCCUAUAUAUAAAUAUUAAUGCUUCACUCUAAUUUUUAAAUAGUUUUAAGUUAUCGAUGGAAAUAUUCCUAAAAUUGUGUUAAAUUUUAAAAUUAUUUCAUAUCCUCAAUUUUCCAUGUCCA